AAAAAAAAAAAACUUUGGAGAGGCUAAGGUGAAAACCCGUAAAGGGCACUUUGAGACCAAAGAGGGCUUGAGUCGAAAACCCGAAAAAGGGCGACUCAAGUAUUGGACAGGAUUGGAACAUCAGGACUUGAGCGGAUCAAAUUUUGAUCAGGGGCAUAUGAUGAUCUUCCUUUACUUGAACCAAUAAGAAAGGAUAUGCAACGUCUUGGAACAUUGACAGAGUAUUGCAGAUCUCCUGAACACCUGUCAAACUCAGAAGGGUCUUCGGAAAGUUUGUACAGAGAAACUCAAUCUGCGAUAACUGGGGCACCUAGUUCUUAUGUGUAUUCUUGAAAAUACAUUCUUUCUUCCUUUCCUUUUGUGAAAAUCCACAUUCUCAAUCCACUUCUUUGUUACCUUUCUUUCGCCAUCUUUGAUGUUUUAUUUGAGUUAUGAUCAGAACCAACUUUAUUUUUAUCUAUUAUUAUGACCUUUUUGCAAACAUAUUGCAUUGGAAUAAUGAUUAAUGGACUAAUAAAACGUUCACAACGGAGGUUUUGCAUAUUACUUUGAAAAGUUCUAGAUAAUAUAGGAACCUGAAACAGGACUAUUGUUUAGAACGCGCCAAUUUUAAAGGUUGGAGGUAUCUAAAAAGGAAGAGUCUAAGUUAAAGACUACCUUUUCAGAUUUUGUUGUCUAAACAUUGAUUGAACAAAAUGACAAGAUGUCGUGUUGGUGGCAAAGCUUCAAUGAACCAAAAAACGAUGUUUACCAGACAAGAAGAAAAGGUCUUCUAUGAGAAGAAAAUUUUGCAUUUGUGCAUGAGCAUUUGGUAUGACACCUUAGGGAUGAGGUAAAGGACCAAAGAGUUUCACAUUCAAUGUCAUUGAAUUGCGAUAGGAGGAGAUUGAGAAAAGCCAUACCUUUCCACCCUUGGGUUACAAUGGGAGAUUGAUGGUACAAAUUUAAUGUCCCAGUGGAUUGAACUUUGACGUGCACAGUGGGGGGCAAUCAGAUUAAGUGUUCCUUGGGAUAUGCUAACCGAGCAAGAAGGCAGUGUAGCGCGUCAGUGAUAAAGCCUUAAUAAGCUUUUGUGUGAUGAUAACCUAAGCAUUAAGGAAUCGUUUUCAUGACAUUUUGCAUGUCAUUCAUACACAUCUAGUUAGGAGCAUUUGUUUCAUUUUGAUAAUGUCAUCUUAAUCAUUAAGCAUAAUUAGGGUCAUUAUAAAAGGUCUUAUUCCCCUGAGAUUACGGUGGAACAGACCAAAGAAUUGCAGAUCUUAUCUCCUUGAGAUUACAGCGGAGCAGAUUGAAUAUAGUAAUCCUAUCUCCCUGAAGUUACAGUGGAGCGGAUUAAAGGAUCUUAUCUCUCUGAAGUUACAGUAGAGCAGAUCGCACCAGGUCUUAUUUCCCUGAGAUUACAGUGGAACAGACUAAAAAUUUCAGAACUUAUCUCCCUGAGGUUACAGUGGAGCAGAUCGAGGCCAGAAAUCUUAUCUCCCUGAGAUUACAGCGGAGCAGAUUGAAGACACUAUCCUAUCUCCCUGAAGUUACAGCGGAGCGGAUUAAAAUAAAGGAUCUUAUCUCUCUGAGGUUACAGCAGAGUAGAUCGCAUCAGGUCUUAUUUCCCUGAAGAUGCAGUGGAAUAGAAUAAAACCACAAAUCUCGUCCCCAUAAAGUUGCUGCAAAAGAAGAUUGAAGCUACAAGUCAGAUCUCCCUGAAGUGCAGUAGAUCGAAGCGACAAGACACAGUGAACUGGAAUGGGGCUACUUGAAGAAGAAAAGCAUCAAGAAGUCAAGACUCGGCGAGACCGGGCAAAAUUGGUCUUUUUCAGUCUUUGCUCCAUUCUCGUUACACGAUAACGAGCAAAGAGGGGCAGCUGUACAGCCCAAUUUUGCCCUAAUUCCAUUACCCAAUUUGCCUUGGCCCAUUUCCAAACCCACCUAGACCUAGCCUAACCCGGAGCCCAAAACAAGACCCAACUAGCCCAACCCCCUCAAAGCUAAGCUAGGGUUUCAGAAAAGAAACCCUAGCGCCGCAUCUAUGGUCUUUAGACCUUCGGCCUUCUGGCGCCGUCGCCGUACCCCGCACCCUUGACCCUCUACGCCACCAUCAUUUGUCGCGUCCCAUCCGCACCUACUAGCUUCAUCAACACCUGCAACACAAAGCAACAGAGGACACAAAAAUGCAAAAAUAGAAAACAACAGCAGAUAAAAAAUACAUUUUGAUUGUAAUAUUGGAUUUGUUUUAUCUUGGGUAUAAAAGGCCAUUUUCUGGAAUCUAAAAGGCAUGGUAAACAGAACAGGAAAUCAAUAAAAAAGGUGAUUUUCGAAAGGCUCACUGGUUUCUUCCGUUUUUCUUUUUCUCUUUUUUUUGGGUUUUCUUUUCGGUUUUGAUUUUGAUUCAUCUUCGAAAAAGAACAAAAAAACAAAGUUUAAAAGGGAGGGAGAUUACCUUGUGGUCACGAUCUUGGCCCUCCUCGUCGCCAUCGGAGAACGGGCUAAGGUCGAGGGCCGUUUGAACGCCAUCAUUGUCGGAAGGGCGCGGAGGAGAGAGCAUUUGGCUCUCUGUUUUCUUUGUUUCCUUUUUCUUUUGUUAAGGGAUGAGUGUAGGUUACCAGAUUAGGUUUUGGGGGGGGCUAUUGUAUGAUGUGAAACGACGCCGUUUGGAGUCUGAUCAGUAACUCCAAAACGGCGCCGUAUUGGGCUCUGACCCGCGCGUUUUUUACUCCUGGGAUAAUUCCUGCCUUGGUCCCUCCGCAUUUCUUAUCUGUUUAAUGCGGUCCUCUUUUUAUAUUUGCAAUUUUGGCAUCGAUUUCUGCUUCUGUUUCAGUUCGGUCCCUGGACUAUGCGCAUUGACUUCGUUGGAACUGUGUCGUUUAAUCGACAAGGGUUAUUUCCCUAUCCAGUCCCCCGCUUUUUCUAUGCGCAUUCAGAAUAGUCCCUCCGCUUUAAUUUAUUUAUGUUUUGACCCCGAAUUUCGUUUAGAUCUUUAGUUUAGUCCUUUUUGUUUUUUAUAUUUUCUUAAUAAAUUUAUUAUUAUUAUUGUUAUUAUCAUUAUUAUUAUUAUUUCUUCCUAUUUAUUUUUAUUUAUUUUAUUUAAACCUUUGGUACGUAUAUAUAUAUAUGCAUAUAUUUGUAUGACAUACAUGCAUUAUUCUUAUAAUAUAUAUAUACUUACAUAUUUUCAUACAUUUUAUAACUUAUGUACAUAUCUAUAGAUCUAUAUACAUGUUUUCAUUCUUAUAAAUAUAUACAUAUUUAUAUAUAAUCUUUAUAGUUUAAAAUAUACUUUUUUAUAUUUUUAAAAUCCACAUACAUACACCUUUUCAAUAUAUUUUUAACAUGUAUAUAAAUUAACGUAUUUAUUUGUAUACAUAUGUAUAUUUUCAUAUUUUAAAACUUUAAUUUGUACAUAUAUAUUUUUUCUUUUACUUUACAAUAUGUAUACACUUACUUUUAUAUGUAUUUCUUUAUUCUCGUAUUCCAUUAGUUUUAUACAUCUAUAUACAUGUACAUGUUUUUAUAUAUACGUAUAUUAAUUUAUUUUAUUAAAAUAUACUUUAUAUAUUUUAUUAAUUCAUGUAUACACAUAUUUUAGCUCAUGUCUAUAUAUAUCUUUUUAUACUUAAUUGUAUUUGCUGUUUAUUUAUUUCAUUUUCGUCAUUAUUUUGAAUGGAUGAUUUAAAUUUAUUCGUUUUUAUAUUGUGUUAUUUUGUAUGUUAUAAAUUUGAUCGUUCAAAUUAAUUGCUAUCGUUUGCAUCGUUUUUAUAUUUUCAUGUUCAUUAUGAUCUUGCUAUGCAUAAAUAAUGUAAUUUGCUUUCACUAUGAUUUUGUGCUUUAUUUUUUAUUCGAUAUAACAAAAAUUUAUUUUUUUCAAAAAAUAGCAUUUCGUGUUUGGAAUCGAGAAAAUCGUGCCCUAACUUACUGGGUUUCGUUUUUCUUGAUAAAUCUAAAUGCACGAAUCUUUUCAAGCUCAAAUUUUAAAUGAUCCCGGGAUCUUAAAAAGAGUCGCGUCCUAACUUACUGGUCGUAAUCUCAUUUUAAAUCCGAGAUGGCUAAAAUAUCUUUUAAAUAAGCAUUUUUUAUUCGCGUAUCGGGAAUUUGAGACAUUGUAUUCUAACUCACUGGAUAUGAUUCUCUUUCUCGAUUAACGUGAAAUAUACUUCUUUUCCCAAAACUUUAAUGCCAGGAUCGUAUUUUUUAAUUCUUUCAAGUUCUCAAUUUUCGACAUCAAGACAUUAGAUAAUCAACUAGGUACCAAUUUCUGGGCGUUACGAGGGUGCUAACCCUUCCUCGUACGUAACCGACUCCCGAACCCGUUUCCUAAAUUUAGUAGACCAAAACCGUUGUUUUAAUAAAAUCAAAUUAUUUAUUAAAAACAACCUCUUUCCAAGGUGACCCAAUCACACCCCAAAAAGGAUUGGUGGCGACUCCCGUUUUUUCGUUUUCAUCAAAACCCAAGUCGACCCCGUUUUCAUCAAAAAAUGGUGCCAACAGGGUGGACUAUCUGUGUUAAUUACCCAAAAAAAAUUAUGUCCAAUAGUAUGAUAUUCGAAAUUAUUAUGAAAUUAUUGAUUAAAUUUUACAUCGUCAACUCAAUUAAAAAUUUGAGUCGUAUUUUUUGUAGCUUAAACUUAGAAAUUAGGUUGAUUUUGAUAUAGUUGAUUUUGUUUGACUUAUCUUUAUUAGUUAGAUUUGAUAAUUUUGUUUAUAUGACAUUCAAAUAUCAUAUUAUGUCAUUACUUAAAAAUUUUGAAAAAAUAAAUUAUAUUAAUUAAAGGUUUAUCCGUCCUUAAAAAAUUACCUUAAAGCCGAUCGAGUCUUAAUUGUUACGCUGAAAGACAUUAUUCUCUUAUUUAUAAGUUGAAAUUUGGGAGGUAUUAUGGAUAGUUUUAGACAUUAUGUUAAAAAUAAUAGACAUGAUCGUAGCCUAAACCUUAAACUUAUAAAAUUUUAUUUUUAAAUAAAAACCACCACUUCCUAGAAAAAAUUAAGCAAUUUUUUUUGUGUGAAAUUUUACCAUUCCAUUUUUUUUAAUUUUAACUUUACUUCAAUAAUAAUUCCUUUCAAAAAAAAAUCGUUACUUAAAAACAAAUUAAAGCAUAACAAAGGAAAGGAGAGAGACAGAGAGAUACCUUAAAAAACCAAGAAGCAGGGGAUGCUUCGAUUUAGAAAGCUCAGCAGCUUGAUUUAUGAACUCGCGAACUCAGUAGCGUAACUCGACUAAUAAAGCACUGAGUUGAUUUGCCGCUGAAAUGGGACUCAAUUAUGGGUUUUAGGGUUUUAAAAAACACACAGCCGGGGAAGAGGAAAGGAGUGAGCCGAAACCUUUAGACUGUUUAGUUUAGGGUUUUUAAAUAAUUAAUAAUAAUUAAUUUUUUCAGGGUACUUGAGUUUUUGUAAUUUAUUUGAAAUUAGUCUCUUUAUUUUUAUUCCAAAUAAAUAUUAUUUUAGCUUUCAAAUAGGAGAAUUUAAAUUUUGAAAUCUAAAAAAUAGAAAGGAUUAAAUUUCAAAUUUAUAAAAGUUUGAGGGACUUAAACAUAUUUUAAUCUCAAGUAAAAAUAAAAGUAGAAAUACUAAAUUACAAAUCUAUAAAAAGUACAAACACUUAAAAAGAAAAUUCAAAGCCAAAUCAUGCAAAAACAAAUAGUAGUUUUCAUGUAUUUAUUUAUUUUUGUUUUUACUUCGUUAAAAAGAAAAACUAUGCAGCUUUGGCUGUAGUACAAACCAGGCAACCACACGACAGAUACUGAAAAGCACUGCCUCCAUCAUCAUCAGCCUCGCCUUCCAUGAUCUCUUCAAGCAUUUUGUCAAACCUCCGAUCGCUACCGCCGGCUACACCGCUGCUCGAUCUUCGCUUUUUCAUGGCUUCUGUCCUCCGUUCAUGAUCUGCCAUCCUUUUCUCAAAAAAAAAAAGUAUCAUAAGAACAGUGCCUUGAAAAGAAGAAAAAAACAGAAAAAGAAGAGAAGAAAAUAAGAUGAUGAAAUUUAGGUACUCUUUGGAGAAGAUAAAAUGUUGAGUUAUGGUUGAAAUAGUAAGAGGAAGACCAUAUGUUGCAUUAAGGUUUAACAUUGUCUGCAUUUUUUUUUCAAAAAAAAGAAAUCAAUUUAUUUUGUUCUAAAAAAGAAGUUGAUUCAAAGUUGAGAGGGGUUUUGUGUUAUGGGGAAAUGGAUGGCUCAUAGUAAUAUAAUGUAACGUAUUUGUUCCCCUCUUCUUAUCUCAUUAUUAUUAUUAUUAUUAAUUAUUGUUGGUUGGGACUUGGACUGGUAUGCCAGACUCCGUAAUUUUUACCCUAGCGAUUUAUAUCAAUUUAUUACUUACAAAUUUAGAAUUUAACCACAACAAUUUUUUUUAACAAUUUUAUUAUUAAUUUGGAUCAUAUUUAUUUAUUCUUUCUAACACAAUAUUUAGAAUUAUUUAAGGACGAAACUAAAAUUUUUUAAAUUAAAUUUUAAUAAUUUAUAUCUUUAUAUUUUUUAAAAGAUUAAAUUUUUAUUAUUUUAAGAAGGUAAAAUAUAAUUUUAUCUUUAUUAAAUUAAAAUUUUUAAAUUUUUAAAAAAUUUAAAUAGAAAAUUUUCCAUAUUAAAAAGGGACGAAGCCCUUACCAACCCUCUUGAUACGCCACUAAAACUACCCAUAACCUUUCGAUCAACUCAUAAAUAAGAAAAUAAUACGCUUCAUCACAUUCGAACCAAUUUUCUCUUACAAUAACUAUAAUACAAUUUAUUGUUUUUUUAAUAUAUUAGUUUGACGUUUUAAAAUAAAAAAUACCUAAUAACAAUUUAUAAUUAAAAUAUUAAUAUUAUAAAAAUAAUCAAAAUUUUAAAACUAUAAAUGUAGAAAAGUUGGAUUUCUAUAAAUAAAUGUAUAAAAAUAAAAUUUAAAUUUGUAAAGAGUAUCGCAUAUUAUAACCUAUAUACAAUUAUUUGGGAAAAAAAACCAAUAUAAAAUUAAGAAAAAGGUAAAGUCUUUAAAUUAAAAAAAUAAAGAAAUUAGAAACAAUUAUAUAACCCAAAAUUUGCAUAAAAGAUCAUCAUUUUAUAUUUAUCUACUCUACCAAAACUCCCACUUAAAAAUCAAUUUCUUAAUUGAAUUACCCGCUAAUUUAUUAUUAACAUAAAUUACUCGUUACUAUUCAUGUAAUUUUUUUUAUCGUAAACUAUUAUUAUUUUCAAAAUGAAAUUUCCUAAAUGAAAAUCCUUUAAUUUAGACAUCGAUCCAAUUAAAAAGAGCAUAGUUAUAAGAGGAGAGUAAACAUUAAUAAGUUUGAUACAAACUUUCAAACAAAUUUCGACCCUUCAAUUUUAUAUCGAAUUCAAGCUUCUAAUAAGGUUAAAAAAAUAAUUUAAUAAAUAAGAAACUCCCUACUAAUUUUCAUUAAAACCUGUUCGCAUUUCUUUAUUUUUUUUAAUAGAAAUUUACUAUUAACUCAGCACAAGUUUUUAUAACAUAUUUUAUAUUUCCAAAGUGAAUAAAGUUAAUACAAUAUUUAUGAUUAUAAAAAAAAAUAACGACGAUCCAAGAUUUAAUAACAUAAUUUGAACUACUUUAUAUUAUGAUCGAACCAGUCAAACCUGGCUCCCCAAUCUAACUAAUUCAAUUAAAUAAAUUGUUAAAAGAAUCACAGAAGAAAAAAGUUAAAUUCGGGCAGGUCAACAGGUCUAAUGCCUUUCUCCAUAUCAAUAACCCUACUAAGUCUCGGACCAUGCUCCACUAACCCCGCUAAUAAUAAUAAAAUCAGAGCCGAAGUGUCAUGCACCAUAACAAAGCUACUCAUUCAUGUAUUCAAAACGUAGCAGCAAUGGCAAAGGAAAAUUAUCAGCCAAAAGGAAUAAUAUUAAAAAUUAAAAAUAAAAAAAGGGGUUUCUCUAUGAAUUUAAGUGAAUUUACAAAGCUAUUUGAUCCCAACCAUCUUAAAGACCAAAAAAUAGACAAAAUGGGUGGAUUUCUUUUGUGUUCAUUUCACCCCCCAACUGCAUGCAUAUCUAUUUAUCCAAUUCCAAUUUAACUGUACAUUUUUAAUCAAAAACGACCUCCCUCACCUGUGUUUUUUAACUCUAGGGUAAAAACUGCUUGUUUUAUGCUAUCACGCCUAGAAUAAAACUAGAAUUAGAAUUUGAGCAUUCAACACUUACAGGUAUCAACGGCCUCAAGCUCUGGCCUCACCUUGGAAAAGUCGUCAACACAGCAACGUUGAAGCUGCCCCCUUCUUUUUAAUUUGGCGGCACUUUCGUAUUGAAAAUUUUAAUUUCGUGUUUUAACUGAAAUGCCAGUCCAGUUCUUCAUGAGUGAUCACCAAAAUUAUCCACAAGUUGCAGUUAAAUUUAAGCAAACACAAUUACUCGGUGUCUGAGUCGAUAGAGAGAUAUAAUCUUGGUCGAACUGACCGUUUUUGCCGAGGAAAUGAGAAAGGGCUCUCUGUUCUUUGCCUACUUGACUUCCCAUUUCUACUGUCGUUCAUACCAAGCAACAGAGAAGCUGCAAAAGUAAGUAACAAUCAAUGCUACAAACUACAAGAAAAAAGAGUAAUGCAGUGAAUUACGAGUCUAUACAAUUUCAUCUUUCAAAUAUUUAAUACAGCAUUUUUUCCAAAAGGGCAAGGAAACUAACCAGCAUCCAUAGCACGCUCUUUGGAAGGUAUCUGCUGCCUCGACUUCAAUCCAUUCACAAUUGUUGAGUCUCCGUGACCACCAGUUGCACCACCUCCAAGCCUAAGGGAGAUCCAAUCGUCGCCAUUCGGUACAUCAGCCUGAUCUCUCAAAUCAGCCUCUGCUGAUGCACCUGAAGGAUGCGUUGGAAGAAAUAUCUGAAGUGAGGGAUCUUCUCCACCAAAGAAGGUACUGUCAACCAAGCUGUCAUUUAGAUUUGUAUCCACCUGACCAAUGGAAGAAGUAGGUACUAGAUUUGUAGAUCCCAUAGUUGUCUCAGGAGCCAAUGGAUAACCAUUCAUAGUCGAAGGGCAAUUGAGAGAACUACGCUGCAGAUCAACUAAGGUAUCUGCAACAUCGGGAUCUGUAUUAAAUAGUUGAAACCCUGAGCCAUCUUGUGUUCCCGUAGGUAAUGACCACAAAGGUAUGUCAAAUUCAUCAUGGGUUGUAAAAAGACCUAAAUUAGCAGCAGGCCCAAGAGGUGGUUCUUCUGAAUACGGAUGAGACAUUCCAGGAGGUGCAACAGGAAAACCAAGUCCCCCACCAUCAUUUUGGUUGUGAUUAUCCUUAUACACAGUUGGAGGAGAUAUCAAUAUUUCAUUCUCUUCAUCUGAAUCACUAAGAACAAUAACUUCUGCAUUUCCUGCUGGUGCCGAUUGGUUUGGGUCAGUAAAUUCAUAUGCUGCAUCUACAUUCAGAGACACAGAAUCAAGUUCAAUCCCGUUGCUUGUAAAGUCAUAAGUUCCACCAGCAUCCUGAUUUACACUGGGAUCUUCACCAUCCUUACCACUUCCAGUAGCACUGCUGCUCAUUGGUAUAAGUUUUUGCUCAUGACGUAGCCUGUCGUGUAAUCUACUAGCAGAAGAGGUGUUCAAGUCUUCAGGUUUGCUAAAAUGCCAGUACCCAUUUUGAUUCUUCUUUAUUCCAAGUUUCAAACCUGUAUGCCCUUCUGAAGGACCUUCAAGUUUGAUCUGCUUUGAAAUUUCAGCUGUCGGCUUAUCCUCCACACUGCCCGAUUCACAUAGGGUACUGUCAGGAGUGUGCCAUAGUGCAAGAUCACCAAGCUCUCUGCGUUCAUUCUCACUUUUAACCUUUGCACGCCAAGAACCAUCAGGCUUGACCUCAAUCUCAGUAAUGUCUUCGCCGCAAUUUCUCAUCUGUAUGAUAGCUGAUCAUCAAUAUCACAAAUUGACAUCAUGGGAUAAAUAUAGAACAACAGGGUACCGACCUUGCAUGUGAUGCGAUUAAAAUAAGGAUCAAUUAUAACAUGUUCCAGCGAGUAGUUCUUCAGGCAAAUUGGGCACUGCCACUGCAUUCAUGCAAACACUUGUCAGAAAGCCUGAAAGAAUUACAAAUAAUAACAAACACUGUAAUAUUGGAGCUUGCCUUCCUAGAGCGUUGGUUAAGCUCCACAAAAACUUCAAGAUCAAAACAACCCAUGUGAACGCAAGGCUUAAACCUUCCAGCGACCUUCAUUCUUGAGCCGCUCAUCUGUCAAGGAUAUGCAAAUAAAAAUGAAUAUCACGAAGCAACGGUAAAAGGAGAGCACAGUGAAGAAAUAGUCCAUCCAAAUUCUUUGCCACUGAACAUUUGCGGGAGAAAAAGAAGAGGUAGUAGAAUCAUCACCUCUUACAUGACUUAAAUUAGAAUAAAUUGCAUAUUAUACAGAUUUAUAUAUACAAACACGAUAAUAUAAACAGAGGUCAUAAGAUAAGCACACAAAAACUAAGAACAACUGUUGCUAUGAUAAAGUUAAGUUCUUUAUGGAACAAAGCACAAGCAUGUGAUCGCACAUAUUCUCCAUGAACACUAAUACUUCACGUACGCCAGACCAUCACCUUUCAGAAAAUAAAUCUAAAGUAGUAUUGGCCCAAACAGUAGAAAGGAAGCAUGACGCAGCUCUAAAGCAGAAACCAUGAUAAAUGAGCAUAAGCAGUGUUAAGAAAAGAAACAAACCGAUUGAUUUGACCAUUUCAACCAGGAAAAUCUGGCCAAUCAACUUAGGAACUUCUAAUUUAUCAUAUAUAAAGCUACAUACAAAUUAUUAUAGACUAACAACUUGUAUUUAGUAUUAAUUUAAUAUCAAAAACAUAUAUUUAACAUUAAAUUAUUUUUAAUUGAACAUAUGUUUAAUAUGAAGUACUUUUGCAUCAUUAUGUACACCUUAUUGACCAAGAAGGAUAACCUCAGCCAACGUUAAUACAACCAUGUAUUGUACACACAAUGAGGUUAGAUACCUCCGCUAUUGACAUUUUACAGUAACUAUGCAGACACAUAAGUCAUGCUACAAGAAUUUGAUCUACAAAUUCAGUAGGGUACAAUAACCAUCUAUUCCAGACAUGCUUCACAAGAUAAACUAAUUAAACACUUGAAAAAUGAUGACCAAUCAAGUACAUGUAAUAUUUUUAGUAUAAAAAUCAUGCACAUCUGAAUAUAGGCAAUAGAUAGUUAGCAUAUUAUAAAACUAUAUAGCUCACAGGGCAGCGUAGGUUGACUCCAAAAAAAUCUGCAACAACUUCUAGGUCACUGUCACUAUCACCAUUGUCAGUUGCAGUUCCGCCACCAACACAACGGCGAACACGAGAAAGAGCAUCUUCGAAACAUUCACCAUCAUUCUCCUUGGGAAUCAUGUUGAGUAUCUAGGACAGGCAACAUAAUAAAGAUAUGGCAAGUUAGUUUCAGCUGCAUAACCAUAGAGGGAAUUGUAGUUUAAGCCAUAGUACUAAGCUAUAUAUUAUAUAAUACUAUGUGGCCAAAGAAAAAGGAAGCGCCUACUAUUGUCCUUAGUAGGACAAAAUCCAUUAUCUCAAGUAUAGCUUCAUAUUAUUUGCGCUGAGACUAAAAAACAAAAGAGAAUCAUAAAAGCAUGUCACCCUCAUUACCAGCCCAAAACAUUUAGAUAAAUUCAGCCAGAUAUCUCAUUAUUUCUUUCCUUCUCAGCUAUUCUAUUAAAAUGGACCCCCAUUAGGCAAACCAAUAGGCAACAAUAUGCACAAUAAAUAAGCCAUAAAGGAACAAAAAAACAUACGACCAUGGUAAUAACGUGAAGAAUGGAGCCCUUUACAUAAGAAAGAUUAAAACCAAAUAAUAAAUAUGAAAGCCCCAAAUCUGAUCUCACAAUUUCCUUCUUAUCUCUUCAUUUCUAGAUUUUUCCUCUACUGUAGUCUCUCCAUUUUUUCCAGCUCAUCAAGUCAACCUUUUAAAUUACAGCCAUGAUAAAGCACCAUUCUCUCUUCAUUAUUCAAUCUUUUUCUCUCAAUUUACUUCAUGGAUGAUAAAGCAUUCUUGUUCAUUGUGAAGUACUAAGAUUUUUAAAGUAAUUGAAGAAAGCAAAAGGGAGAAAAUGACCGAAUUUAGUGGCAUUCUCCGCACUCUAUUUUCAUUAGAUCCCAUGCCCAUUUCAAUGUCAUGCUCACACAGGAACCUCACCCAAUAUGCAAAGAAAUGAUCAAAUAGGCGGUCAAAUGUCUAAUCCGUAGUCAUUUUUGCAAGAGCGUGAAACAUAUAUCCGACGCAUUCAUAUGAAAAUAACACUGUCAACUAUGACAGCACUAAAUAUAUUUGCAUUCUGUUCUGCUUUGUGAGCAAACCAAUCAUCACUGCCUAUAUUAAUCAAAGAACUAGCAGGCAUUGGGAAAAAAAACAUUUUUAUUUUGCAAAAAGGAACAUAUAUAAUUUUUUACCACAAAAAUUCCGAGACAGCAAAUUAAUCAAUCUUGUACUUCCAAUGUGUGAACAAUCCAUAAAGGGUUGAUGUUCUGAACAUACCUGUUGAACAGUUCGUCGUUUAACUAUUCUAACUCCGAAACAGAAGAAGCGAGCAUCGCAUCCGGUCAAAGUUAUCUUGUUAAUUCCAUCUUUAGUACAUGGAGUUAUCUGACCAGAAAAAACACAAUAAAAAAGUGUUCAGACCAUGGAUGCUUCUUAGGUAGCCAACAAGAAGUAACAGGCUUUAAAAAGCACAUGCAAUAACCUGCCAGCAGGCUUCCCCAUCCAUUCCAAUCACAUGCACGCACAGGUAAAGGGUAAAUUCUAAGAAGCAUAUGAUUAUGUAUACAUGGUGCGAGAAAAAAAAAAGCUCUUUUAUGGGAGGACAGAACUCACAAUUGGACCAUCAUCACGGCCAUUAGCCCCAAGCAAUUGUGAGCCAGGUCUAUUAAUAGCACGAACAGGAACACCUGUUUAAAAAACCGUCAGUUACUGAUCAAAGUUGAAAUAAAAAAUUGCAUAAAAAAUAUGUUGAGGUCAAGAAGAAUAGAGUUGUGACUAGGAAAAAUCUAAGGCAAAAAAUGCUAAGCAUGGUUCUUUCUUUUCUUUUUUCCCCUUUUAGCUAGAUCCAAGUAUGUUUCUCAAUAAACAGUAGAAAAAUAAUUAAGCCGUAAAAGGAGCAAUAAACUGCUAAGUAGUCAAAGAAAACCAUUAAUAAUCAUACCAUUGACCUGUAAAUCUGCAUAUUGAGGCCACUGCAUCCUGAAUGGAACUUUGUCAUUCAGAAGCAUGCACCAUGCCUAUUUGACAAGAUGGAAAACAAAAAUAUCAGGAUAAAUAACAAAAAGAAUUAUAACAAAUUGCACUUUUUAUUUUACACUAGCCAACCUGGACAUCAUACUCUUGUUUUGCCAGCAAUUCCCUAUCUGCUCUGGUCAGUUGGAAUGUUUUCUCAACGCUUUGCAUUGGAUUUGUACUGCAAAAUGUAGGAUAUGAAUCACUAAACUAACAAACUACUAUGAGCGAGGUCACAAAGCAUUAGAUAUUAAAGUACAAAUAUAAUGACAUUCACACCAAAACAACCUGGAAGUUUACUUGGGUUUUUUUUUCUUUUUUGGGGCGGGGGAAGAGCUUUAAAAUUUUCAUACAGUACACUCACCCAUCAGUAGGGAUAUUUGCAGUCGUCAACUUCACUGGAUAUAAAGGGUUAGCAAUAGUAAGCCAAAAACUGCACAUUCAGAACCACAUCAGGAAUUAAUAGGAUGUAAUGUAAAAUAAGGGAUAACAGAUUUAAAAAUAUUUCAUAACUCACUAAAGUUAUGCCUAGAAAAGGAUACUCUUGAUGCAUCCAGAUCAAAUACUUUCUUUUUUAUGAAAGAUUACAAUUCAAAUACUUGAUGAAGUGUUUACAGUAGAAAACAAAUAUAAGGUGCAGCAAGCACUAACUGCUUGACAAAUAGCAUCGUUCUUCAAUGUUAAAGAUGAUUCAGUAUUAACUUUUUGUACAUCAAUAUAGCAUUAUAGCUACAAAUGAUUGUAUUUUGCAAAUUUUCUGAGGUGCUUUUGUAGUCCGGCACUAAGGCACAUUGUGCAGGCACACCUAAGCGCACACCAACACAACACUGAUUUAAUGUGCACUGCAAAAAACUAGUUCCUACAUUUCCUCACACUAUCAAAAGCAAGUUUAUAUUUACUAAACUUGCAUCCUAAUUACACAUUCACACUAUCAAAGAGGUUUAACAAGUAAUUCUUCAUUAUCCAACCAAACUAAACUACGAAUGUCUGCAAUGUCAACAUUUAUAAGGAUGGUACACAUUCAAUUGCAUGUGAAAUAUAAGAAAUAAUUGGCAUAUUUCUAUAUCAUGACAUUGAACUUCAGCCAAUAACCAAACUUAACAAGUACAAAGAUUGACCGUCAAUGAUGAAGUGAUCAUACAUUUUUGGAAGCGCACGGAUGCAAACACACACACACACAUACAUAAACAGAGAAGAGACAUACGGAUCAGCUCGUUUCAGACGACAAAGCUCACAACAAAAGAAAUCAGGAAGUGCCGGAUUUCCUUCCAUAGGCUUCUCUGGAAUUAUAACACAACCAAUGUGUUGCCGUACUUGGCAAGUCGGAUCCUUACACUGAAUAGAGAAAUGAGAGAAAGCAAAAAAUCAAUAAUUCAAUUUGAGAUACAAGAAGCACAAUAUUUGUAGAGUAAAAUAAGACCAGGAUAUCCUCAGGAUACAUUAUCCCUUCUCAAAAUGGAGAAAAGCUUAUCAUACAAAUCAGAAUUAUGAAAAGAAGCAAUUAUAUGUUAAUACCAGGAUAUAAUUAUAGCAAGAAUCACUCAAAAAAGCAGGCAGUAGAAGUAAAAGAACAUCAGAAGCAUCCCAUCUUAUAAAAUUGCAUCAACGCAAGAUUCAUAUGAAAGUAGACAAACCUAGAAAACUGCAUUAGAAUACAUCUACUGCAGAAAAAGGUCACUGGGAGGACACCUACUUCAGUUUUGAGCUAAAUGUCAACCUUGAGGAGAUAAAUGGUUCCAUUGUAAAUUAAAGAGCAAGAAGAAAAUCUAGGAGGAAGUCUAAAGUGCACAAGUCUAUACACUUGUUCAAAAUUGAUCUGUCUUUGCUAUCAAAUCCGAAAAAGCAGUCAAACCAGUUAUCAGAAAAACUAAUGACUUCAUGAAGAAAAAUAUGAAGACGUUGCUUAUGUGUGCAAGUCAAGGGGCAAAAAUCUAAAUCAUAAAAUGACACCACCAAAAGGAAGUAAGUAAUACAAAAUGAUGUAUAAUACAUCAUUUGUAUCAAGCAAACACAAAUCCCAAUUUGAAAAGCCAGAGAAUCGAUCUUAAAUAGGUGGUCACCCCAAAGUCCCAAACAUACAAUUGUGACAUCCAUAUCAUUUGACAUAAAAUAAUGAGGUCAAGAACAUUCAGCUCAUUAUCAUUACCCUGAUAAUGUCGUCAGACUCCGAUGAACUUCCGCAGGGGCAACGAACUUUCACAUCUGGUUGGAAGGUAUCCUCUACUUCUCCUUUAAUUUUAACAUUACUGCUGUCUGACACACCCUGCCCCUUUGAUGCCAAUUCCGUGGCACCAGAAACCUGCAUCUUCCUGAGGACAAGAAAUACAUUUUAAAGAGAGGAAAUAAAGUAACACAUCUGGUUACUUCAAAGCAUAUAAUAAGCAGAUGCACUACAUCUGGUUAGCCAGCAUCAUCCUACCUAAAAAGUAAGUUGGUCCUUGUUUGCAGAAGGGGAGAAAAGAAAUAGAUAAUCCAGAACAAAUCCCAUUAUAUACGUUUAUUUAAAUCUUCAGCAGAAAUGAAUUACAAACAUUAACACAAACCAGUAUGAUUGAAAAAAUAACACUUUAAGAAGCAAUAAAGCAAAUCAAAUCAUAUAGCCAGCAUCAUCUUAUCUGAAUGGUAAGUCAAUAUCCUUGUUCACAUUAAAAUAAAAUAAUAAUCCUGAACUAAUCCUAUUAUAAAUUUUUGUAUCCAAAUCUUCAAUAGAAAUGAAUCAUAAAUUUAAACAUAAACCUGUAUAUAUCAUCAACAAGUUUUGCCACAUCUUCCUUCCCCACAGGAGUCCUCUUUGCCCACAUCUUUGUAACUGGAAAACAGAAAGUAAGCCCAACAUAAUUAUAAAAGCUAAAAUCAGUAGUUUCCCAACAGACUUAAGAGCCAAAUCUGAAUUAAUUGCAAUCUAUGGAGAGAAAAUAUAAAAAUUCAAUUGAAAAGCAUACAAAUUAUAAUAAAAUUAGCAGAUCAAAAGGUAAAAUGCUGCAAUCUCAGCGAUCCUGAGAAGCUAGAGCAAACCUAGGCAAAAUAACAGGUACAUAAUUAAUAUCCUUGAUCAUAUCCCACAGUCCCACUCCCCACACACCCCCUAGAACACAACCAGACACAAAUAACUGAGUGAUACAAGUCCUACCAAGAACUAAAGCUGAAAACAAUAUACAUUUCACAUCGAACAGUAUAACUGUGAUUGAGUCAAAGACACAAUCAUAUCGACAGCUAAAUACUAGCACUGUGACAACAUAUGUCACAGGCUAGCAAAAGUAAUGCUAGAAAGAAACAUUUAAAAGAUAAUAUAACCCAUAAAUAUGUAUUUCCUUUUCAAACGGAAUGAGAGGCUAGGAAAAGAAUAUUUACCUUGUUCAUCAGAGAGAGCACCUAAUAUCCUCUCGACAAGGUCCUACAAGUGAGAUUUACAGAAAGGUCAUACAUAAUCUUAAGUGACGUAAGAACAAUUAUCACAGCCCCCAAAAUUUUUAAGGCCCUUGCUAAAUCUGCCAGUAAAUAGUUUAAAAUUUUAGGAGCAACAUACUGGAAUACCAAUGACCUCACAGACAAACGAGUGAAAACUCAUUAUUCACCUCUGAACACUCAAAAUACCAGAAGGAGCAAACAAAAGCAGAAGCAUGAACUAAAUAUGAGAAGAGAAAAAAUCCACCUAACACCUACCCUUUUCAAAUAAAUAAUAAUGUGAUCUCAUCAAACAUCGUUAAAAGUUAAAAUAGUUAAAAUACAGUGCAUUAUCUAAAGCUUCUGCUAACCUGCUUCUUCCCCUGCUUUGAAAGACCCAAUUGAGUGAGAACAUCCUUUAGUUCUUUUAUUCGAAAAUAUGCCAAUUUAUCCUACAAUAGGAAAAAUAUAUUGGUAUUAGCUCUCCAUGCACAAUUUCUUUCUAAGAUAACCAAAAAAGCAUCAAUGUACUAGCAUCACGCAUAACAAGAAGCAACUGAAAACAUGUAAAUUUAUCUAUUGACUUUCAGCUUAAGAAUUUAGUCUUAUACUCUGAUUAACAAAGUAAUAUAAUGAGUACAAAAUGCCAUUAUUUAAGAGAAGGUAUAAAUAAAGUUAGAGAAGCAGCUGUGCACAGCUGAUGCUAAUUUUCAGCUUAUAAAAUAACUGAAACCAACAAAAGCAUCCAUAAUGAGCUUACUCACAAACUUAAAACUACUUGAUUUGCAGAAGCCACUUAAGAACAACAGGAUAUCUCCACUAUCAAACUAAGUUCAGUAUUUGAUAUCCCCUCUAUAAUGGAUUAAUAGAUAUCCAAACAUUAGAUUACAUUGCAGAAGCCUAGUUGGUUGAAUUUGAUAAAGAAACAAAUAAUGAUAAUAUUAACAAAAGUUCAGUUCUCGAACAAUUUUCAUUAGUUAACUCCCGUAUAAUUACACUGAAAAAGUGAAAAAAAAAUGUAUCUAUAUUAUUUUAUGCAAAAAACGAGAAAAAUACCUUGCAACUAGCCACCAAAUCCAUAUUCAGUUCACAAUCUGUAGCCAAGCAAAAACCAGUAAUCAAAAAUUUAAAACUCUCAAAAAAAAAGCAAUCGAUCUAAUCAUCAAUAACCAAAACAAGACAGCUAAAUUUUAAAUUAAAUUAAAUUAAUCGAUCAAUAACCAAAAACAUAUAAUAAAUUUAAUAAACCUUACGAGUUCUCCGAUUAUGAAAAAACAAAGGAAAAUUAAAAGAAAACUUGUGAUGGAUCGAAGGAAAGUAGGGGAAAUAGGGUUCGAGCAGUGGAGGUCGCCGACUUUUUUUUCCCCUUUUUUUUCUAUUGACCAGAGAGACCCAAGCAAAAGGAACCAAUUCCUUUGAAAAAUUUUACAAAAGUGACCGGACUUAUCGCCGAUUAUCGAAUUCGGUUUUUUGAACGGAACACGUCCGGGUUUAGUUUCGGUGAAGUUGCGUGUUCAUUUUGUAAGAUACGCCAGCCCUUUUUUAUUCUUUUAUUUGGGAAAUUUCGCGGUACUUAUGUACGUACAUUGACUCUAGCUAGCGGUUGAGUGUGAUUCUGCCACGUCAGUGCUUUUCUGGACUGAGAAAUGAUGGUGGACCUUUUUUAGCCGUUGAUAUUGCCGCGAAUUUUAAGUUUUUUCUUUGGCACAUUUACAUUAUUGAGUCUUUAAUCUAAUUUAACUUUAGACUUAUUACAAGUCAAUUAAUAUCUUUUAUUUUAUAAAUUAAUGUAAAAUAUUUGUUAAACAUUAAAAUAUAUUUUUUUUUAUAAUUAAGAAAUUAAACUUUAAAUUAUAUUUUAUAGUUUAAAUGAAUAUAAUAUUUAUUGUGUGUAUUAAUGAAAAUAUAAUUAAUAAUUUUUUCAACAUUUAUACUAUUAUUAAAGACCAAAUGUUAAUAAAAUUAUAAUAAAGUGUGUGGUUUACCUCAUAUUUUCGACCGAACAGAUGGUGAUAUCAUGAUAAAAAACUUCUUGACAUUUCGACAAUAGACGAUAUCGAGAUGAUGCGAAUGGGAACGUUGCAACAUGGCAACAUGUUUCCCACAUAAACCAUGUUUCUUCUCUCAAUUAAACUCUGCUAUCGUUUCUAAGUAAACUCUAAUUACUUUAGAGGUAUUUUAGUUAUUUAAGCCCUUCAAAGGGAGUUUAUAUCCCUGUUUUAAAAGGUCAAUUAAGAGGCAAUUAAAUAUGUAGUAUUGCAAGGCUUUUUUUGGGAGCGACAAUAUAUAGUCAUAGAUGAUUUUUUAUGAGAGUUUUAGUGGUAAUUACUGUGAGAAUUUUGUUUUCGUUUUGAGAAAACUCUAUGAGAGUUAGGCCUUUGGUUUCGAAGUUUGGGUUUAUAUAUUUAGUACAUUUAAGUUUAUUUUAUUUAUAUUAUAUUAUUAUUUGUUUACUCAUUUAAUGAAAAGUUGAUGCCUCAUUUACUCGUGGUUUUUAUCUUAUUUGAAAGAGUUUUUCACAUAAAUAUUUGUGUUUUCGAUAUUCUCUACCAUUUCUAUUUUAUAAUUUAUACGGAUCAAUCCCAACAUAAAGUUGUUAAAUUUUUCACUAAUAUAUUUAUUUUUAAACAAAUGUAAUUUAAUUUUAUAAAAAAACAUUAACAAAAUCUAAAAAUUUUGUUUUUAAUCGUUUUAUUCAUUUAAAUUUUUAAUCACUAAACUGAUUUUAUUAGAUUUUUUUAUUUUUAUUUUUAUGAUAUUUGUAUUUGUUUAUGACUCUAUAAAAAACACUUUCUCUAAGCAAUAACAGAUUUUUAACACAUCUAAAAUGUUUAUAAUUUGGCGUCCAAUUAUCAAAUUUCCACAUUUUUUGAAUAAUGUUAAAUUAUUGAUUAUAACCUUUUUUUAUCAUAUUUGGAAAUUUUUUAUUAUUUUGGGUUUUUGCCUAAAUUUUUUGUGAUCUUUUUUGUUCUGUUUUUAAAUUAAUUAAAUGUAGACAUUGUAAGGAAAUAAGAUUUUUAAUAAAUAAAUAAAUUAAUAAUGGUAAAAAAUAUUUAAGAUUUUGGAUUUGAAGGAUGAAAUUUAAAAGAUUAAUAAAUCAAUGGUGAAAUUAAGAUUUAGAGUUUAAAAUUUUUUAAUGUUCAAAGAUAAAAGUAAAACAGAAAAGAGGUUAAGGCAAGGGAAUAUCUAAUUUGCUUGUUGAUAUUAGGAAUGCCACUCCCUAAAUUAGAAAGUCCGUUACAUGGUAGCGUGUCUGCACUCUUAGGCAAAUGUCUGCCGAUACGAUUCUAACUUCUAAUGUACAGUGGACUACUUAAUUGAAGUCCAUUUUGUAUUUUGCUUGUAAUGACAUUUUUGUGGCUAAUUCGAAUAGAUUCCAGUUUAAUUAGGAGGUGAUAGAAUAGAUUCUAAUAUUCGAUUUUGUUUGUUUAUUAAUUAGAUUUAUAAUUUAUUUGGUGUUGAUAAAUGUAUCACAUUACAUACUAAAGUUUAAACAAUUAUGAUGUGUUAUAUUAUUGACUGAUGCUUAAAAAGUGACACUUUUUUCUUUAUUCUCCAUAUUUUUGUGGUUUAUAUUUGAGGUUUUCUUUUAUAAAACAAUUAAUAUAUUUUAUGUUAAACAAAUAAAUUAUAUUAAAUUUACUAAAUAAAAAUAUAUUGUUUGACUUGGAAUAAGUCUAAAGUUAAGUUAGACUCAAAACUUAAAUAUCCGUAAAUUGAAAAAAAUGUAAAUUACAUCAAAAAUCACUAAUUAUUAGUAAAUUUAUGUUUUGAAAAACUUAACUUUAGAAAGUUAUAAAAUUAUCACUAAACUAUUUGAAAGUCUUCAUUUAAGUCACUAAGUUAUUUCGAAGUUUUUAGUUAUGUCACUGAACUAUUCAAAUGUUUUUAUUUAAGACAUUGGGUUAUUAAGAUUUUUUUUUAAGUUUAACUUGUGAGUUUUAAGCAAUGAUUCAAUGACUAAUGCAAUGAACCAGUACUUAUCGACAAGUAAAAGAACAUAUAUAAAAAGUCAAAGUCGAUCUCACGAUCAAUGUCGAAGAUUAGAGAAAAAAACUAUUUCAAAUUUGAUUUGUAAAUUCAUAACGUUCAAAAUUAGCUAAUAAAAAAAACCUAAAUUAUAGAAGAGAAUAGGAAGAAGAACUUUGAAUUGGUACAAGUCAUGCAAAUAGUAAAAUGAUUAUUUAUUAAAUAAAAUUUAUUAAAUAGUAUAAUGAUUAUUUAUUAAAUAAAAUUAUACAACAAUAAUUUUAACAUUUUAGCGAUUUAAAUAAAAUUUAUUAAAUAGUACAAUGAUUAUUUUGUAAUCUUUUGAAAUUAAGUAUGUAAAAAGUAUACUUACAAUUAGUAACUUUUUCCUGUAGUUUAUUCAUAUCCAAAAUGAAAAAAUCUUGAAAAAUUCAUGGCAAAGUCAACGGCUGAAAACGUCCACCAUCACUUCGCACUACAAAAUUGCCCGAAUAAAAGAAUAACAAAGCACGGGCGUAUCUUACAAAAUGAACACGCAACUGCAUCGAAACUAAACCCGGACGUGUUCCCGUUCAAAAAACAGAAUUCGAUAAUCGGCGAUAAGUCCGGUCACUUUUGUAAAAUUUUUCAAAGAAAUUGGUUCCUUUUGCUUGGGUCUCUUUGGUCAAUAAAAAUAAGGGAAAAAAAAGUCGGCGACCUCCACUGUUGGAACCCUAUUUCCCCAUUUUCUCUUCGAUUCAUCACAAAUUUUCUUUUAGUUUUCUUUCAUUUUAAUCAUAAUCGGAGAACCCGUAAGGUCCAUUAAUUUGAUUCUAUGUUUUUCUUUGAUGAUUGAUUGAUUAAUUUAAUUUAAUUAAAAAUUUUAGUGGUUUUGUUGUGGUUAUUGUUGAUUAGAUCGAUUGGUUAUUUUUUGAGAUUUUUAGGUUGUUGGUUACUGGUUUUUGCUUGGUUACAGAUUGUAAACUGAAUAUGGAUUUGGUGGCUAGUUGCAAGGUAUUUUUCUCAAUUUUUUUCGUAGUAUAAUAUAGAUUCAUUUUUUUUCAUAUUUUCAGUGUAAUUAUAGAGGAGUUAACUAAUGAAUAUUGUUUGAGAACUGAAAUUUUUAUGAUAUUAUAUGUUUAUUUCUUUAUCAAAUUCAAUCAACUAGGUUUUUGCAAUGUAAUCUAAUGUUUGGAUAUCUGGUAAUCCAUUAUAGAGGGGAUAUAGAAUACUGAACUUAGUUUGGUAGUGGAGAUUUUCUGUUGUUCUUAAGUGGCUUCUGAGAAUCAAGUAGUUUUGUGAGUAAGCUCAUUAAGGAUGGUUUUGUUGCUUCCAGUUAUUUUUUAUGCUGAAAAUUCGUAUCAGCUGUGCACAUCGGCUUCUCUAACUUUAUUUUAUACCAACACUUAAAUUAUGGAAUUUUUGUACUUAUCAUUAUAUUGUUUUGUUAGUCAGAGUAUAAGACUAAAUUCUUAAGCUGAAAGUGAGUAAAUAUAUUUAUAUGUUUUUGAUGCUUGUUAGGCUUGAUGCUAAUACAUCGAUGCCUUUUUUGUUUAUUUUAAAAAGAAAUUGUCUACGGAGAGCUAAUCCCAAUAUGAUUUCCUAUUAUAGGAUAAAUUGGCAUACUUCCGAAUAAAAGAACUCAAGGAUGUUCUCACUCAAUUGGGUCUUUCAAAGCAGGGGAAGAAGCAGGUUAGCAGAGGCUUUAGAUGAUGCUCUGUAUUUUACUUGGUUCAUCUUCUUGUUUGGAAUGCUUCUGUUGAAUCUUGUUCUUAUUGCCCUCUGUUCAUGGUUCACUCUGUUUUUACUUUUUUUCAUUUCUCUGCAUACAGCUAGUAAAUAUUUUAACUUUUUAACAGUUUUUGGUGAGAUCACAUUAUUAUUAUUUUUAAAGGGUAGGUGUUAAGUAGAUUUUUUACUUCUCUUUUUCUCUUCAUGCUUGUUCUUUUUGUUUGCACCAAAUGGUAUUUUGAGUGUGCUGAGGUGAAUGGUGAAUUUUCACUCGUUUGGUGUGUUGCUCCUAAGUUUUUAAACUAUUUACUGGCUGCAGAUUUAGCAAGAGCCUUAAAAAUUUUGGGGGCUAUGAUAAUUUUUCUUUUGUCAGUUAUCAGUAUUUUUAAUAUAAUUUGCAACCUCAUGGUGUAGGAUUAUGUUUGACCUUUCUGUAAAUCUCACUUGUAGGACCUUGUUGAGAGGAUAUUAGGUGCUCUUUCUGAUGAACAAGGUAAAAUAUUCUUUUCCUAGCUGUUCCUUCUGUUUGAAAAGGGAGCUUGUAGCCUCCAUAGUAAUUUAUGGAUUAUAUUUUCUUUUAAAUGUUUCUUUCUGGCACUACUUUUGCUAUCUUGUGACAUAUGUCAUCAGAGUGCUAGUAUUUAGCUGUUGAUAUUAUUGUGUCUUCAACUCAAUCAUAGUCAUACUGUUGGAUGUGAAAUGUAUAUUGUUUUCAGUUUUAGGGUGUAGGUCAGGUGCGGGGUUGCGGGAUGCGAUCAAGGAUAGUAAUUAUGCACCUGUUAUUCUGCCUAGUUUUACUUUUCUUCUAGUUUCUCAGGGUCACCGAUAUUGCAGCAUUUAACCUUUUGAUCUUCUAAUUUCAGUAUAAUUUGUUGACAUUCCAAUGGCUCUUUGUAAUUUUUUUUAGGAGUGCAGUGUCUUGGGUAAGGGUUGUAGACGAGUAUGCUAUUCAGUUGAAUUUUCACAUUUUCUGAUUUUUAGUGUCAUUAGACUGCAAUUAGUUCAGAUUUGGCUCUUUAAGUCUGUUCAGAAACUACUAUGUUCUGCUUUUAUAAUAAUGUUGGGCUUGCUUUCUGAUUUUCAGUUACAAAGAUGUGGGCAAAAAGGACUCCUGUGGGGAAGGAAGAUGUAGCAAAACUUGUUGAUGAUACAUACAGGUUUGUAUUUAAAUUAGUUUGGAAUUAGUUUUUUUCCCCCUUCUGCGAACAAGGACCGACUUACUAUUUAGAUAAGAUGAUGCUGGCUGACUGGAUUUAGUAUAUCAGGUUAUUUUAUGUAUUAAUUAUCUUUAUUUCCUCUUUCUGAAGUGAAUUUCUUGUCCUCAGGAAGAUGCAGGUUUCUGGUGCUACGGAAUUGGCAUCAAAGGGACAGGGUGUGUCAGACGGCAAUAAUGUUAAAAUUAAAGGAGAAGUAGACGAUCCCUUUCAACCAGAUGUGAAAGUUCGUUGUCCUUGUGGAAACUCAUUGGAGACUGACAACAUUAUCAUGGUAAUGAUAAUGAGCUUAAUGUUCUUUUCCUCAUUUUAUGUCAAAUGAUAUGGAUGUCACAAUUGUAUGUUUGGCAUUUUGGGGUGACCACCUAUUUAAGAUUGUUUCUCUGGCUUUUCAAAUUGGGAUUUGUGUUUGCUUGAUACAAAAUAAUAUAUUAUGCUCAAUUUUUGUACUAUUUACUGCCUUUUGGUGGUAUCUUCUUAUGAUUUAGAAUCUUUGCACCUUGACUUGCACAUGCAAGCUAAGUCUUCAAAUCUCUAUACAUGAAGUUGGUAGUUUUUCUAAAACUCUUGAGGCUGUGGUCUUAAUGAAUCUAAUGACUAGUUUGACUGAUUUUGUUGGAUUUGAUAGCAAAGGCCAAUUUUGAACAAGUGUAGAGACUUGUGCACUCUAGACUUCCUCCUGGAUUUUCUUCUUGCCCUUUUAAUUUACGAUGGAACCGUUCAUCUCCCAUAGGUUGACAUUUAGCUCAAAAUUGAAGUAGGUGCCUUUCCCAGUGGCCUUUUUCUGCAAUAGGUAUAUUCUAAUUCAGUUUUCUUUUGUCUACUUUCAUACGAAUCUCGCCCUGAUGCAUGAUAUAUCUUGCUUCUGCUGUUUUUUUUACUUUUAUUGUCCACGUUUUAUUGUUUCUAUUCAUAAUUUCAAUUUGUAUCAUAUGCCUUUCUCCAUUUUGAGAAUGGAUUCAUGAAUUCUGAGGACAUUGCUUUCUUAUUUUCCUCUACAAAAUUGUGCUUCUUGCAUCUUAAAUUGAGUUAUUGAUUUUUUUGCUUUCUCUCAUUGCUCGAUGCAGUGUGAGGAUCCAAGAUGCCAAGUAGGGCAACACUUUGGUUGUGUUAUAAUUCCAGAGAAGCCUAUGGAGGGAAAUCCAGCAGUUCCUGAUUUCUUUUAUUGUGAGCUUUGUCGACUGAAGCGAGCUGAUCCGUAUGUCUCUCCUCUGUUUACGUGUGUCUGUGUUUGCAUCCGUGUGCUUCCAAAUUGUGUGAUCACUUCAUAAUUGAUGAUUAAUCUUCUUACUGGUUACAGUUUGGUUAUUGGCUGAAGUUCAACAUCAUAAUAUAGAAAUAUGCCAAUUUUAUUUUGUAGUUCUGAUCUAACUGAAUGUGUUCUAUCUUUAUAAAUGUUAACAUAACAGACGUUUGUAUAUUAGUUUGGUUGGAUGAAGUUUGUUAUUAGGCUGCAAGAUUUGUAAAUAUUAUCUUACUUUUGUACCUUCCGCAACCUAGGGAGGAGAAAGGGGAAAAAGAGAUAAGUGUGAGGAAAUGUAAGAACUAGUUUUUGGUAGUGCACAUAAAAUCAGUGUUGUGUAGGGGUGCGCUUAGGUGUGCCUGCACAUUGUGCCUUAGUGGUGGACAACAAAAGCACCUCAGACAAUUUGCAAAAUACUGUUAUUUGUAGCUAUAAUUCUAUGCCUAUAUUGAUGUUCAAAAAGUUAAUACUGAAUCAUCCUUAAUAUUGAAGAAAGAUGCUAUUUGUCAAGCAGUUAGUGCUUGCUGCACCUUAUAUUUGUUUUCUACUGUGAACACUUCAUGAAGCAUUUAAUUGGUAUACACUUGUAUUUAUCUAGUAUCCAUCUGGAUGCAUCAAGAAUAUCCUUUCUAGGCUUAACAUUAGUGAGUUAGGAAAUACUGUUCAAUCUGUUAUACCUUGAUUUUAUGUUACAUCCUUUUAAAUCUUGAUGUGGUUCUGUAUGUGCAGUUUUUGGCUUACUAUUGCAAACCCUUUUUAUCCAGUGAAGUUGGCGAUUGCAAAUAUCCCUACUGAUGGGUAAGUUUAUCAUAUGAGAAAUAUUAGAGCUCUUCCCCCUCCCCCAAAAAGAACAGAAAAACAAUUUCCAGGUUGUUUUGGUGUGAAUAUCAUUAUACUGUAAUCUCUAAUGCUUUGUGACCUCACUUAUAGUAGUUUGUUUAGUGAUUCAUAUCCUGCAUUGUGCAGUACAAAUCCAAUGCAAAGCGUGGAGAAAACGUUCCAAAUCACUAGAGCAGACAAGGAGUUGUUGUCCAAACAAGAGUAUGAUGUCCAGGUUGACUAGUGCCAAAAAAAAAGUGUGCAGUUUGGUAUAUUGCUUUUUGUUAUUUAUCAUGAUAUUUUUGUUUUUCAUCUUGUCAAAUAGGCAUGGUGCUUGCUUCUGAAUGACAAAGUUCCAUUCAGGAUGCAGUGGCCUCAAUAUGCAGAUUUACAGGUCAAUGGUACGAGUAUUAAAGGUUUUCUUUGACUACUUAGCAGUUUAUUGUUCCUUUUACGGCUUAAUUAUUUUUCUACUGCUUAUUGAGGAGCAUAUUUCGAUCUAGCUAAAAGGGAAAAUAAAAUAAAAGAAAGAAGCAUGUUUAGUUUUUUUUGACUUGGAUUUUUCCUAAUUGCAACUUCGUUCUCCAGCUCGAAAUCAAUAUAAUUUUUAUGCACUUCUCUAUUUCAACUUUGAUCAGUAACUGACAGUUUUUUAAACAGGUGUUCCUGUUCGUGCUAUUAAUAGACCUGGCUCUCAAUUGCUCGGGGCUAACGGUCGUGAUGAUGGUCCUAUUGUAAGUUCUGUCCUAUAAUCAUAUGCUCCUUAGAAUUUACCCUUUACAUGUUCCUGCAUGUGUUUGGAAUGGAUGGGGAAGCCUGCCGGCAGGUUAUUGCAUGUGAUUGUUAAAGCCUGUUACUUCUUGUUAGCUACCUAAGAAACUUCCAUUGUCUGAACACUUGUUUAUUGUGUAUUUUGUGGCCAGAUAUCUCCAUGUAUUAAAGAUGGAAUUAAUAAGAUAACUUUGACUGGAUGCGAUGCUCGCGUGUUCUGUUUUGGAGUUAGAAUAGUUAAACGACGAACUGUUCAACAGGUAUGUUCAGAACUUCAACCCUAUAUGGAUUGUUCAUACACUGGAAUUGCAAGAUUGAUUGCUUAUCUUUCUGGGAAUUUCUUUAGUAAAAAAUUAUAUAUGUUCCUUUUUGCAAAAUAAAAAGCUCAGCAUAUGAUGUUUUUUUCCAAUGCCUGCUAAUUCUUUGAUUACUUUAGGCAGUCUAGAUUGGUUUGCUCACAAAGCAGAACAGAAUGCAAAUAUAUUUAGUCCUAUCGUAGUUGACCAUGUUAUUUUCAUUUGACUGCAUCGGAUUUAUGUUUCAUAUUUUCUGCAAAAAUGACUACAGAUAAGACAUUUGACUGCCUAUUAAUUAUUGCAAUGUCAUAGUUGAGGUGCCUGUGUCAGUAUGACAUUGAAAUGGGUAUGGGAUCCAAUAAAUUAGACUGGGGAGAAUGCCACUAAAUUAAUUUAAUUGGUUUCCUGAGGAAAGCUUUUUUGCCACUUUUUUUUCCCCUUUUGCCUUCUUCAAUUACUUUAAAAAUCUUAAUACUACCUGAUGAACAAGAGCGUAUCAUCAAUGAAGGUAAUUAGAGGAAAAGAAUGAAGAACAAAGAGAGAAUGGUGCUUUAUCAUGGCUGUAAUUUUAAUAAUUAACUUGAAGAGCUGGAAAAAUUGGAGAGAUUACUGUAGAGGAAAAAACUAGAAAUGAAGAGAAGGAAAUUGUGAGAUCAGAUUUGGGGCUUUCUAAUCUUUGUUAUGCAAAGGGCUCCAUUUUCAUUUUAUUAACAUGGUCAACUGAGUUUUUUUUUUGGUUCCUUUAUGGAUCGUUUAUUGUGCAUACUGUUGCCUGUUGGUUUGCAUAAUAUGGGCCCCUUUCAAUAGAAUAAUUGAGAAUUUAAGAAGUAAUGAGAUUUCUGCCUGAAUUUAUUUAAAUGUUUUGGGCUGGUAAUGAGGUUUACAUGCUUUUAUGAUUUUGGUUUGUUUUUUAGUUUCGGAACCAAAAAUAUGUAGUUUUAGCUUGAGAUAAUGGAUUUUCUCCUACUAAUGGAAAUAUUAGGCAUUUUGUUUUUCUUCAGUCACAUAUUAUCAUAUGGCUUAGUACUAUAGAUUAAACUACAAACCCUGCAUGGGUAUGCAGCUCAAACUAACUUGCCUAUCUCUACUAUGCCUGUCCUAGAUACUAAACACGAUUCCCAAGGAGAAUGAUGGUGAACGUUUGGAAGAUGCUCUUUGUCGCGUUCGUCGUUGUGUUGGUGGUGGAACUGCAACUGACAAUGGUGAUAGUGACAGUGACCUAGAAGUUGUUGCAGAUUUUUUUGGAGUCAGCCUACGCUGCCCUGUGAGUUAUACAGUUUUAGAAUAUGCUAGCAAUCUAUUGCCUAUAUUUCUGCUGAUGUGCACGAUUUUUGUUCUAAAAAUAUUACAUGCAAUUGAUUAGGCUUCAUUUUUCAAGUAUUUAAUUACUGUAGUUUGUGAAGCAUCUCUAGAAUAGAUGGCUAUGUGCCCUGCAAAAUUCGUGGAUCAAAUUCUUGUAGCAUCACGUAUGUGUCAGCUUAGUUACUGUAAAAUGUUAAUAGUGGAGGAAUCUAACUUCUUCAUGUGUACAUGGUUGUAUUAAUAUUGGUAGAGGCUAUUAUGCAUGGUUAUUAAGGUGUACUUAAUGUAAAAAUUACCUGAUGCUACAUUGAGGCACUUGUGCAUGGUCAUUAAUGAAUAAAAACUGGACUGGAGGUGAAAUUGUGACAACCCUGGUUCAACCAGUUGAACCGAAGUGUUCAGUUAAAAAUAAUUUAGAAUUAAACAUGUCUUAUAUUUAAUAUUCAAUACAAAUUAUUAGUUGAUAAGAAUUUGUAUGUCUUUACAUAUGAUUAAUUAUAAGUUCAAAUCUCAUCACUUGUAAAUAAUAAAAUUAACAAAAAAAUGGUUAACUACUGUGUUAAUUCAUGUACCUGUCAUUAAUGAAUAAAAACCGGACUGGAGGUGAAAUUGUGACACCCCUGGUUCAACCAGUUGAACCGAAGUGUUCAGUUAAAAAUAAUUUAGAAUUAAACAUGUCUUAUAUUUAAUACUCAAUACAAAUUAUUAGUUGAUAAGAAUUUGUAUGUCUUUACAUAUGAUUAAUUAGAAGUUCAAAUCUCAUCACUUGUAAAUAAUAAAAUUAACAAAAAAAUGGUUAACUACUGUGUUAGUUCAUGUACCUGAAUAGAUAUUCAGCACCAACCAAUUUGAAUGGACUAUUUCUUCACUGUGCUCUCCUUUUACCGUUGCUUUGUGAUAUUCAUUUUUAUUUGCAUAUCCUUGACAGAUGAGCGGCUCAAGAAUGAAGGUCACUGGAAGGUUUAAGCCUUGCGUUCACAUGGGUUGUUUCGAUCUUGAAGUUUUUGUGGAGCUUAACCAACGCUCUAGGAAGGCAAGCUACAAUAUUACAGUGUUUGUUAUUUUUUGUAAUUCUUUCAGGCUUUUUGACAAGCAUUAGCAUGAAUGCAGUGGCAGUGCCCAAUUUGCUUGAAGAACUACUCGCUGGAACACAUUAUAAUUGAUCCUUAUUUUAAUCGCAUCACAUCCAAGGUCAGUACCCUGUUCUUUAUUUAUCUUCAUUUUGUAAAUUUGUGAUAUUGAUGAUCAGCUAUCAUACAGAUGAGCAAUUGUGGCGAAGACAUUACUGAGAUUGAGGUCAAGCCUGAUGGUUCUUGGCGUGCAAAGGCUAAAAGUGAAAACGAACGCAGAGAGCUUGGUGAUCUUGCACUAUGGCACUCUCCUGACAGUACCCUAUGUGAAUCAGGCAGUGUGGAGGAUAAGCCAACAGCUGAAAUUUCGAAGCAGAUCAAACUUGAAGGUACUUCUGAAGGACAGACAGGUUUGAAACUCGGAAUAAAGAAGAAUCAAAAUGGGUACUGGCAGUUUAGCAAACCUGAAGACUUGAACAACUCAUCUGCUAGUAGAUUACAAGACAGGCUACGUCUUGAGCAAAAAUUUUUACCAAUGAGCAGCAGCGCUACCGGAAGUGGUAAGGAUGGUGAAGAUGCCAGCGUAAAUCAGGAUGCUGGUGGAACUUAUGACUUUACAAGCAACGGGAUUGAACUUGAUUCUGUGCCUCUGAACAUAGAUUCAGCAUAUGAAUUUACUGACCAAAACCAAUCUCCAACAGCAGGAAAUGCAGAAGUUAUUGUUCUUAGUGAUUCAGAUGAAGAGAAUGAAAUAUUGAUAUCUCCUCCAACUAUGUAUAAGGAUAAUCACAACCAAAAUGAUGGUGGGGGACUUGGUUUUCCGGUUGCACCUCCUGGAAUUUCUCACCCAUAUUCAGAAGAACCACCUCUUGGGCCUGCUGCUAAUUUGGGUCUUUUUACUCCCAAUGAUGAAUUCGACAUGCCUCUGUGGUCAUUACCUUCGGGAUCUCAAGAUGGUUCUGGGUUUCAACUAUUUAAUACAGAUCCGGAUGUUGCAGAUACCUUAGUUGAUCUGCAGCGAAGUUCUCUCAAUUGCCCUUCGACAAUUAAUGGUUAUCCAUUGGCUCCUGAGACAACAUUGGGAUCUACAACUCUAGUCCCUACUUGUUCCAUCGGUCAGGUUGAUACAAAUCUAAAUGACAGCUUGGUUGACACUACCCUCUUUGGUGGAGAGGAUCCCUCACUUCAGAUAUUUCUUCCAACGCAUCCUUCAGGUGCAUCAGCAGAGUCUGGUUUGAGAGAUCAAGCUGACGUAUCGAACGGCAUCCGUACCGAUGAUUGGAUCUCACUUAGGCUUGGAGGUGGUGCAAGUGGCGGCCAUGGGGACUCAACAACUGUGAAUGGAUUGAAUUCAAGGCAGCCAAUACCUUCCAAAGAGCGUGCUAUGGACACUGGUUAGUUCCCUUGCUCUUUUGGAAAAAGCGCUAUAUUAAAAAUUUCGAAAAAAAUGUAUAUACUUGUAUCUGGCACACAAGUUUGAGAUUAGUAAUUCACUGCAUUAGAAUUUUUCCUAGCUCCAUCACUGUUCUGAAGUUUCUAGCAUUGAUUGUUACUUCCUUCUGCAGCUUCUCUGUUGCUUGGUAUGAAUGACAGUAGAAAUGGGAAAUCAAGUAGGCAAAGAACGGAGAGCCCUUUCUCAUUUCCUCGGCAAAAACGGUCAGUUCGACCAAGAUUAUAUCUCUCCAUCGACUCAGACACCGAGUAAUUGUGUUCGGCAACUUGUGGAUAAAUUUGGUGAUCACUCAUGAAGAACUGGAUUUGCGUUUCAGUUAAAACACGAAAUUAAAAUUUUCAGAAUGGAAGUGCUGCCAAAUUAAAAAGAAGGGGGCAGCUUCAACGUUGCUGUGUUGAUGACUUUUCCGAGGUGAGGUCGGAACAGGAGGGCUUCAAUACCUGUAAGUGUUGAAAUCUCAUAUUCUAAUACUAGUUUAUUCUAGGCGUGGUAGCAUAAAACAAGCAGUUUUUACCCUAGAGUUAAAAAGCACAGAGGGAGGUCGUUUUUGAGUAAAAAUGUACAGUUAAAUUGGAAUUUUGGGUAAAUGGAUAUGCAUGCAGUUGUGGGGGGUGAAGUGAGCACAAAAAGAUUCCGCCCAUUUUGCCUAUUUUUUGGUCUAAAAGACAGUUGGGAUCAAAUAGAUUUGUAAAUUCACUUAAAUUCAUAGAGAAACCCCCUUUUUAUAUUAUUUUAAUUGUAUUACUUUUGGCUGAAAAUUUUCCGUUGGCAUUGCUGCUAUAUUUUUAAUAGAUGAAUGUGUAGCUUUGUUAUGGUGCAUGACACUUAGGAUCUGUUAUGAUUUUAUUGUUAUGGGUCAAGCUGUUGACAUGUAUAAUAUUGAUCAAUAUCGUAUAUAUUUUGUUUACAUAAAUGAUAUCAUUAUUUGUACAACAGUUUAGGUCAUAAUGUUUUGCAAUUGAGUAAAUUACAGCAGUACACUCAAUUAUGAAAGACUCAACCGCUAGUAAACUUUUUUUAUUAAAAGUUGUAAAAUGGUGAUUUAACUAUUUAAUUGCCUUUUUUUGUCAUCUAAUUAUUUUGAAUUUUUGGGUUUUUUUUUUUUUAACUUUUAUGUUAGUCAGCUGAGUGAGUUUACCCCUUGCAAUUUUGGUUUCUAGUAUUCAUAUUUCUUCGUAAAAGAAUAGUGUUUUAGAAUUUUUUAUAAAAUUUUGAAACAUUAUUGUUAUUAUUUAUAUCAUAUUGAUAUCCAUUUGUUGUAAAAAAAUUGCGAAAAUUAGUUCUUUUAAAAAAGUUGUUAUAAAAAUGUCUUGAAAAUUUCAUAUAUAUAUUUUUUAAAUUAAAAACUUGAAAAAAUAAUCGAAUGAUUGUUGUAUAAUUUUAUCUUUCACCUUCGGCUUGUUUGGUAAUAUAACGUAAAAUAAUAGAAAUUAUGUGAACAGAUAUCAGAUAAAAUAUUUUAUCCUAAAACAUAAAAGAUGACGUUCAAGUUUAGCAAGAAGGAAGAACAUGAAACUGCAACAGUAAUGUGAAAAAAGCUAACAAAGUCUUAGUCUUCAUUUUCAGGUUGAAGAACUGAGAGCAAAUUCAACGCUGAAGAGCCAAUAUGCAUUCCUCGAACUAUGCCUCCAUAUCCAUCUUUUAUUCUGUGGCACAAUAACAAUAUUGAAUCCCACAGCGCUGUUCUCCCCUGAAAAACAUAUACACGCCAUCAAAUUAUUUGAUGAACUACCGCGGGACUAAAAUUCAUGUCAGACUCAUCCACUAUCCAACACAUUACUGAAUCCAAGUAAUAUAGCAUCUAACUCGUAUGUGUUUACAUCUUUCCCAUCAACCAAAGAUGUCCAAAUGAAUCUUAACCAUCCAACCAUGACAAUACUACAUUUGCAACGAGAUUAACGAGAACUGCAAUUACUCACCCUUAUAUCAUCUUCAGAUGCUGACAUCGAAUUUCUUUAGUAGUUAUUAAUAAUUAUUUCAUGCUAUUUACUACCUAUGAAAAAGUAAUUAAAAUAGAGCUUCACCUGAAGAGAGAACUGCAAUUUCUUGUCCCAGUAUAAGGCGAAAAUGGGGAGACUCUGUUUCCCUAUUGCCAGUAUGCAAGCUCCGGGAUGAAGAGUCGAAGGAACACCAGAUACAAUAGCAAUGUACUUCUCUGGAAUCCUGUCUCUCGGCAAGGUUCCGAAGAACAAGGGGUUCUUACUAGAUUGAGCUCCAGCAUACGAAGUUGGUUCAACGUGUAACAUCCAUUUUGGAUGCUCUAGAAAUGCGCAAAACAGGUACAAGAGUAAGUGAGAAUCAGUUGGUAGUUCGUGAGUCCAUUUCUUGUUCUUUUUAUCGUAAACAUCCCCAUUUCCUUGAUAUUCGUAAUUCUUCAAACAGGUUCCUUCAGCAAGUUCUGUGCAAACAAAUAGUAAUUCCGUAAUUUAGGUACACUGAAAAGUCUACCAAUGCAGAACAGAAACUGAACAUUAAAGGGACUGUUGAGAAUACCUCGAAUUCUUCGUACUGUAUAAUCAGCUCUCACACUAUUUUGUGGCAGCAGCCCCUUCAUCCACUCACCUUUCAUCAAUGAAUGAAGCUUUUGGUGUUUGGUAAUGGCAUCAAUACACUCCUGCAUAACGGGGAUAAAAGGAUUUUGUUGAGGGAAUUGUAGUUGAUUGGCUAUAGGCUUAGCUGCAUUUUAUCAAAAAAAGUACCAUUAGCUAAUAUCGAUAAAACUCAACAAAUGUAAAAAAUAAAAAAAAAUGAAAGACAGCAUUGGGAUAACUUACGCGUGGAUGCCUCCAGAGUUUGAACAAGAGUUGCACGUAAUUGAUGAAGAAGCCCUUCUUCCUCAAGAGUGAAUGAUGGUUGCCAUUCUUUCGACCUAUCAGGCGGAGACAAAACAGCCGGAUUUCCAUUGGUUGAUGGAUCAUUUCCUACUUGAUUAAUGGUUACAGAGAUAUUGAGUUUAGCAGCCGCUUUCAUUACCUAUAAGCAGAGGAUUUGUGAAUCUCGUAAUUAAAUAUUUCCUGGGAUUCCUCUCAAAAUUAUUAAAAACAUCAUAAAUCUAAAACAGACAAUACAUAACAUAACAUGACGAGAUUAUAUGGUGAAACUAAAAUGAUAGCAUAGAUGAGCGAAUGAAAAACCUGAACGUGACUGGUUUCAAUUUUGUUCAGUAGAGGGUUUAGUAGAACCGAAGAAAACCAUUGUCUGAGUCGAUCACGCCAGUGCUCGAUUUGAGGAUAGAUUCCCAAAUGCUCAAAAGCUUCAACAUACUCUUCCAUUGACAUCGGAGGUGGAAGCUCGCCUUCUCCUUUCUUUGGAGGAGUGGUAAAUUUUUGGGAACCGGGAGACAUUCUCACAGGCCUCAGUGGUGUACUUCUUGUAGUUCCAGAUGUAUUAGCUGAACUUGCAACAGUAUUCGGACUAGCUAUUCCAAAUCCACUGAUGGUUGGAGGUGGGGUAGCUAGUUUUCCUGCUGAUUCGGUGAUCUUCUCAUCUACUUCAGCAAGAAACUGUUCAAGUUGCUCUUCUGUUGUAAUUUCUUUGGCAUAGGAGGAUCGCUUAGUGGACCAUGGGGUUUUCACUAGAGGCUCUUGUCCCGGUGAAGUUUGACGAGAAGAUAAUGACGAAGUGGAUGCCGGAACAAGAUAUAAUGAAGAAGGGGAGCCCUGAGAUCUGGAUGGUGUAGCAAAAGGGCUCAUCUUAUUUCCACCACUGGUAUUUGAUUUAUUAGAGCUAGCUAGAGACUUACGAUCUGAGCCACUAAUUGAUGGAUGAAGUGGUACAAGAACAUCCGAAGAAGAUGAUGCUGCCAGGGGUUUGGACUUGGGAGGUUUCUUAGAAGAAUCCGGUGCAACUUGCUCAACCUUCGAUUUUACUCCUAAAAGCCCCAGCUGACGUUUUGUUAGGUUAGGUUGAUUUUUAGUUCCUUUAGAAGGAGAUACAAGUGACAAACAACUACUGGUGCUCUUGCUUCGAUGCCAAGAGAUAGCUUUGAAUAAGGCAAAAACCGUUCCAACGAAAACUACAGCUGAUGCAACUUGCACUGCCUUGGCAAAUAUAUCUGAAGCACCAAUAACACAUAUUUCAAUCACAGGAAAUAGAGCACUUAAAUUCAAGAAUCAAAGGAAUUCAAUCUGCAAAUGAUGACUUACAAGCCACUUUGUUAGACAAAUUUCCGAACUUAAAUUUAUCAGCGAACCCAUUUCCACUACAUCAAUGUGAGAUAAAAUGAUUGUGUUAGUGAAAUGAAAACACAUUCAAAUCGAAAGAAAAGUAUAGACAAGAAAGAUAGACAAAAGUCGGUAGCAUUUAAAAGGUUAGUUUUCUCCAUUUGAAAGCAGAGUAAAGGAAGAAAAACUCAAAUUUGGCUAGAAGAUUAUUGAGUCGAGCUCAAGCAGUUGACCAUGCCGAACUUGAGUAUCCUUAUGUUCGAUUCAAGUAGCUUGCCAAUGUAAUAGCCUUUUUUAAUUUAUCAUAUCAAUACAUACUUUGAGCCUAAAAAAUCCAAGGUUGAAGUGAAACAUGAGAAUCAAACUCAUAUUUACUAAGUAAAGAGCUUAAUUGAUCGUAUUCAAGCAAGUUCAAGUUGUUUGAUUUUUAUCUCGAAUCAAACUCAACCUUAAAAGGUGAAAACAGAACGAGUUAGACACAAGUUUUCGAGGUUCAAUUUUUGAACCGAACUAAUAUUCCUUACUGCUUGAGCUCAAACUCUGACUUCGAUUACACCCCUAAAUCCUACUAAUUACCUAACCCUAAUCCUAUCUCUACUUAUCUCUUACUAAAUGAUGCAUAUUGGCCCGCAACAGUCCACAACAUAUCAUCGAACUACCUUUCCAUUGAUGAUUCCCUUACAAACCUCGGCUUUCUUUUAAGUAUUCAUUGAAACAAAAAGGGUCGUUUAAUGCAUUUUUCUUCAGAAACAAAAAUGCAUAUCCAUCACUAGAGAGAAGAGAAAAACCCUUUUUGCUUAAACCCUCCUUGAACCCUAAAACAACCGCCAUAUGUAUAAAAUGUAUGUAUGUAUAGCAGGAAAAGACUUAAAACUACUGCGUUUAAUGAAACAAAAGAAAAAGAAAAAAAAACCAAAAAAGUGUAAAGUAAAGAACCUGUAAAUCGUGGAGAGGAGAGCAAAUGCAGAUGCAGAGAAGAGAGAAAUGAUACAAAGAAAAGUUGAUUUAGAGGGCUUUAAACUUGUCGCCGUUAAAGCGGCGGAUAACGUGGGGUUUUGGUAGACAGAGAACUUAGAGGGCUUCAACGGCGGCGAACCCCUGUCUUGGCCGGCGGCAGCUUGCAUGUUUUAACCGCGAAUUUAGGGGAUUUUGAAAGAGAUCUGUUUUUUUUUCUGGGUUUAUGGCACCCCGCUCUAUUCUCUAGCAGUUUUAGGAACAUAAGCACAGACUGAACAGACACAUUGGUUUCAAAAAAGGGUUAGGGUAAAAUGCAACUAAGGUCAUGAAAUUAUUAAUAAAUUUACAUUUUGAUCAUUUAAUUUAAAAAAGUUACAAAAUGUUCACUAAAUUAUUUUGAAGUUUUAUUUGAAUCACUGAAAUAAAUUAUUAAAAAAAGUUUAUUUAAGUCAUUGAAUUAUUAGGAUUUUUUCUUAAAUCUGAUUAGUAAGAUCCAAAUGACAAUUUAACGAUCAGUAUAGUGAAUUAGUACCUAUUAAUAAGUAAAAUAACAUAUCUAAUAUUUAAUUCAAUCUAACUAUUAGUGCCGAAGGUUUGAAAAGAAAGUUAUUUAGACUUUGGUUUAUAAAUUCGUGACAUUCAAAUGUGUCUCAUGAAAAAAACUGAAUUGUAAAAGAGAAAGGGAAUGUAAGCUUUUGAUCGGUGUAAGUUAUAUAAAUUGAAAAGGCCAUACAACUAAGGGUGUUCAAUCAGUUAACCGACCCGAAAUAAUAUUAACCGAAUUAACCGACCUUUCAAAAUUUUUAACCGUUAACCAAACCGAAAUUUUUUCAAAAAAAUUAACCGAGCCGAAAAUUAUAUGUUUUUUAAUUUUUGGUUAAAAUAAGUAUAAAAUUAACCGAAUUAACCGAAUUAAUUGAAUUAACCAAAUUAACCGAAUUAUUUGUAUAAAAUUAUAUGUUUUUUAUUUUUAUUUUUAGUUUUAGAUUUUUAUUUUUAUUUAUUAAAUUAUUUGUAAUUUUUAUGAUUGGGUUGAGUAAUUGAGUUGGGUUAGGUACUUGGGUUAAUAUAUAUUAGAUUGGAUAUUUAGGUUUAUGUUGGAUUGGGUUUGAGUGAAUAGUGGGCUAUUUAGAUAUUAUAAUUUUUUAUUAAUUUUUUUCGGUUAACCGACCGGUUUCGAACCGAAUUAACCGUUAACCGAAAACUCAAAAAAAAUUUAACCGACCCCCAAUCGAAUUAAUUCGGUUAACCGACCGAUUAACCGAAUUUUUUCGGUUUUACCCAAAUUUUGCACACCCCUACAUACAAUAGUGAUUUUAACAGUCCUAUGACUUCAAUCAAAAACUUUUAAAUAGUUCAAUGAUCAUUUUAUAAUUUUUUAAAGUUAAUUGACUAAAACAUAAAUUUAUUAAUAAUUUAGUGACUUUAAAUGUAAUUCAUCCAAUGGGUUAAUAUAACUUUUAGCCUAUUACCUUGGCAAUUAGAUCACAACUUUUUUAAUCCAUUUUAGCAUUUGAACUUAAUGAAUAGAUUUAUUAUGAUACGUGGAGUUGACAAAUGUAAAAGUUUAACAAUAUAAUACUCUGUAAUUAUGUCACAUCAUUGCUUCAAAAUUAAAAAAAAAUUAAGAGUAUCAUGACAUCAAACUUGAUGAAUUUAAAGUUCAGGAUUAAAAUAGACUUACCAAAUAAGACAAAAAAAAAUGUGUAAGUAAGAAAAUAGACUUAAUUGCUAUAUUUUUCUUAGAGAGAUCAAUUUAAUCAAUAACGACAUUGAGAGAGACAAAAAAAUAUCUUUUUUACCGAAUUCUAAGGUAUAUAAAUGUAUUUUUAUAUAUUAACACAAAUUAAAUAUAUAUACAACAUUUAACUUUACCUUCAAACUAAAAUUUUAUUUUAAUAUAAUAUUUACAUUUUAAUUUUAUUUUUCAUAUUUUAUUACCAUAUAUUAAUAUUAUUAUUAAUUAAAUCAAUGUCACAAAUUAACUCAAUAUUAAAAAUAACAAUAGCACAAUAAACAAUCGUAAUACAUUUAAUAUUAUUAAUAUAAUUUAUUUACGUACUCAUAAUUUAAUUUAUUUAUUUUUAUUUUAAUAAAUUAUAUAUUUAAUACGUUAUUAUUAAUUAUUUUUAAAUUAUACAUUUCUUAUUUAUUAUUAAUUUCUAGUAUUAAUAUUAAAAUACAAAUAAAAAUAUAGAAUAAAUUAUCUAUAUUUAACCUAAUCAUAUCAAUGCUCGAACCUUCUCGAGCAACCUAUAAAUAACCCUGAUCAUUAAGUUUAUUACCCUUUUACCCUCCCAUUUUCUCGCCUUUUAUCUUCUAUCUAAGAGAAAAAAAUAAUAAAAGGAGAAAAAGGGCAAAAAAAAGAAAAAAAAAAUCAUUUCCUUCAACCAAAGUACACCAAACCAUGCCAAGAGGUUCAUCGCAGUCGCAAACCUCCACUUCCUCCUCCACGUCCCGGCCGGGGGUUAUGGCUCCUCGCGGUUCCGCGGCCGCAGCAGCCGGUAUGCGCCGCCGGAGGAUCGUCGGAGGUUCUUCAUCGGCUACCGCCUCUGGAUCCGUCGGUUCCGGUUCCGGGGGCAACAUGCUUCGAUUCUACACCGACGAUGCUCCCGGAUUGAAGAUCUCACCUACCGUCGUCCUCGUCAUGAGCCUUUGCUUCAUAGGUUUCGUCACGGCUCUUCACGUUUUCGGCAAGCUGUAUCGCGCCAAAGCCGGAGCUGGACCGUGAGGGUCUUGGCUCGGACCUGAUCUUCUUUCUAUUCGGAUCUCCAAUCCGUUACUGAACCGGUAACUGAAUUUCCGCUUCACUCCUCUCUUCGUUUCGUUCGUUGUUUGACCGUUUUUGGCGUUUAGUCUCUGUAAAUAAUGAUGGCAAGCUUGUAAUUAUACAGUACUUUUGAAGGUCGUGAACCUUUUUAAUCUGCGUUCAAGUUUGAUAAAAUGAAUAUGCUUUUUCUCUUUGAAGUUCUUGGGGCUGUUCCCUCCUUUUGCUAGCUUUAAUCCAAAAGUGACGUCUUUCACGCUCGUUUUUUAGUUUUUAAGGUAUAUGGCUUGGCUGCUAGUUUUCUUUAACAAUUUAGGCAAAUAUCGGUUUGAACAUUAAGUCGCGCAAUAAAUGUCGUAUGUGGCUCUUUCAAUCACUUUUAUUUAAAUAAAUAAAUUAAAUUAAUUUUUUAAAUGAUCCGAUCCGAUUCUGAAAAUAGUGUUUCAUUAUUAUUUUAGUUUUUUAGGUUUAAAUUUUAUCUUGUAUAUUGAAUUGAUUUUAGUUUUAGAUGAUGAUGAAUUUAUCAUUACACGGUCCUUAAGGCACUGUUUUUAAAAUCAAACCCAACUCGCGUCGAUGGUUAGAUCAUAAAUCGAUAAUGAUAUUGAUUUUGAAAAAAGAUAAAGAUUGAUCGGUAAAACGAUUGAACUAGAUGAAUUGAUAACUUAACCCGUUUACCAUCAAUCCAAUUCAAUUCAAGGAUGCAAAAUCAUCUGUUACAUAAGAUACCAAAAAACAAAGUAUUAGAUAUUAAUGCAGUGAUCAGGUAUAUUAAACUUUUAAGAGAGAAUGUAAAUUUAAAUUUUAAAGAUAACAUUAUGAAUCUUGAAUAAAAGUGAAAUAUACCUCUUCGAUUGGAUCAGAAAUUAAUAGUAGUAUUGAUUUAGAGAAAAAAAUUAAACUGAUUGAUGCGUAAAAUGGUUAAAUUAGAUGAAUUGAUAACCAUCAAUCCGGUUCAAACAUGCAAAAUCAUCUUAAAGUUUGUUACACAAAAAACCAAAAAUGGCCCAACAAGAAUUUGGAUAUUAGUGUAAAAAUAAGGUAUAUUUCACUUUUUAAGAAAAAAUGUAAAUUUAAAUCUUAAAAGAUAAUAUUAUUAGAAGGGUAACUAUGAAUCCCGAAUAAAAUCUUUAAAUUGGAAGAGAUUGCAUGUUUAAUGUCACUCGAAUUCACUAGUUCCAAGUUGCUCCAACAACAACGCUGCGAAUAAUAUUCAAUCUACAUAGCCGCAUUAUUAAAUAUAUUAUUUUUAAGUCAUAUCUUAUUAUUCGAGUCGACUACAAGCACACAUUAUUAACCUUAAUAUUUUCAAACCACUAUCAUCCGAAGAUAUCAAAAACUAUACAUUUAUUAUAAAUUUUUUAUUAUUAAGCAUUUGUUUAUUGACGGUUUGAUGUAUUUUAGGACUUUAAUAUUUAUUAGAAAUAAAUUUUUAUUUCAUUUAUAUCCUUAUAUCUAUUAAUAUAGAUUUGGAGAAGCAUUAUAAAUAUGUUCAUUAGUUAAUAAAAAUCUCUUAUUUUUUAUUUUUUUAAUCUAUACAUGAUUUAUUUUUCUCUUUUUGCCCAUGUGUUUUCAACCCUUUAUUAUUUCGUCCCUAUUUUUAACCCUUUCUUUAUUUUCCCAAUAGCCCCCCAAGUCUGGGUACCUUCCCGAUAACUGGCAUUAAGGAUCAAACUUGAGAUCCUUAGGAACCAACCCCAAUAACUAGCUAUUAACCCAAUGCCAAAUUAGGGAAUUGGCAAGGGCUUCAACCCCUCUUAAAACAAUUUUUUAUUUAGAUCUUUUAAAAUUUUAAAUUAAUAAAAGUAAAAUUAUUUUUUAGCCCCCUAAAAAUAUAAAAUGUUGAUUUAAUCCUUUAAAAAUUAUAAAGAUAUAGACUAUUAAAAUGAUAAAUUUACAUUUAUACUAUCGUAAAAAUUAUAAUUUAAUUUCACUCCUCUGAUUUUAUCCUUUCACAAACCUGAUUUCAAUUUUUAAUCUUUAUGCGUAAAUAGAUUUUAUAAAAAUCAAGCUUGUUUUUUGAAAUAAUUGCUCCAAGAACAAAAAAUUCUUGAUUUUUAUAAGAUUUAUUCAUUCGAGGAUCGAUAUAAGAUGUAUUCUCCACGAUCAUAAACACAAUAUGCAAAGAUUAGUAGGGAUUUUUUAAAUAUUCUGUUUCUAGAUUUACUUUAAUUUUAAUUUUAAUCGAUUUGAUUAACAUGUAUUAUAUGUAUCUUUCAAGGAUGGUGAAAAAUUUGAUCCCAACAUUGAUUUAUCGAGCAAAAUUUUAGAUUGAUAAAGAGUUUCGACAUAUUUUUAUUCAAUUAUUAUUGUGAUUAUUGAUUCUCUUUAAAUUAGGUACCAAAUCUUUAAUGUCGAAAAUUCAAAAAUUUUAAGAUGCAAUCCUCUUUAGAAUAUUUUGAUUUUGAAAAUUGAGAUUCACUUGUAUCAAAAUAUUGACACUAAGUUAGCCCCCCUUUUUGAAAUCCCUAUCUCGAAACGACAAAAUGCCACAUCCAAUAAGUUAGGACACAACGCUUUGAAAUUCCAAGACAGUUGCUCGUAUUUUGAAAACCUUAAAAAAAUUAGAAGGGUACUUGACUAUUCGAACUCAACGAGAAAAGUUGCAACCCAAUAAGUUAGGGCACUACUUUUUCGAAGCUUCCAAACACCUAGCAUUACCUUUUUAUUUUUGAAAACUUUGAAGUCUCGUUUUUAAAACUAAUGCAUGAAGGAGCACAUUAACAUAAUAAAACAUAACAUACAAGAUAACAUAUUAUAGAAAUAGGUAAAUAAAAGCAUAAUAACAAUAACAUAAAUGUCAUACAUUAAUUAAUAUAUAUAUAAGAAAUAUAAAAUAUGGCAAAUUUUAAAUAAGUAAAAUAUACAUACAAAAAAACAACAUCUAUUAAAGAAGAAUAGAUAAAACAUAUAAACAUGUAAUUCAACAUAUAUUUAAACAUAUUAAUAAACGAGAAAAUGAUGCAUGAUGUAUGAUUGUAUAAAAACAAAACAAGACAAACAAAUACAAUAAUAUAUAAAAAUAAUAAUAAUAAUAAUAUAGUAACAUAUGUUAUCAAGCAAUCAACACUUUAUAAAAUCAUGAAAAUAGCAUUUAAUACAUGGACAAUUUAUAAUAUAAAAAAUAUAAAAAGGUUUAAUAAAAUAAAGUGAGUAAUUUGGAUAUAUGUGUAUAUAAUUAAAAUACAAUUUAGAAAUGGGUGAUAAUAAUAUAUUAUAGAUAAACUUUAAUUUUAAGAUAAAAUAAUAAAAAAAUAUGAUAUUGUAUUAUAUCAAAUAAUAUAAACAUUUAAUAAUACAUAAAAAUAUAAUAUUUAAUAGUGAAUUUUAAAAUAGAUAAUAAAUGAUAGUAUAUAAAAAUAAUAAUAAAUGAAAUAAUUUAUAAUAUAUAAUAUAAAAAUGUAAGUUUUUAAAAUAAUGUAUAUUACAAAUAAAUAAAUAUAUAAGAUAUAUAAGUUAAAAUAUAAUAUAUAAUAAUAAUUUACAAAUUUUGAAAAUAUAAAUAAUAUAAUAAAUAAUAUAUAUAAUAAAUUUAAAAUAAGUUUAAAAGUAUAUAAAAAAGGGGUGAAAUUAAAAAAAAAAGUUGAAAAACUAAGAUAGACGAAGAAUAAAAUAAGAACAAACCAGAGAGAGUAAGAACGCAAGAGGGAGAGAAAUUUGAGUGAAUGCUCUCAAGAAUUCUUAUUGCUUCCCAAAACUUCAGUCCCCUUACAAUGAAGGGAGAGGCCUCUAUUUAUAGUUGAGCCUCCCCAAAUCUAACGGUACAGAUCAAUUACAUCAACGGUUAAGAUUAAAGGAUAUCUACAAAUUAAAUCUCCAAGAUUACAAAAUCAUAUAUUCUAAGAUUGUAUAUCAUAUCUAAGAUUGUAUCAUAUCUAAAAAUGCAAUCAUAUCUAAGAUUGUAUCAUAUCUAAGAUUGCAUAUCAUUGAAGAUUAUAUUUCCAUAUGAGUCAAGCUUGUAGAUGGACUUUAAAUCUUUUCAAGUAAUAGGCCAUUCCGAUCAGGCCAAAUUAUAUUUAUAAUUCUGUACUGAACUUGGACUUCGUUUUUUUUUUGGGGUUUAUUAUUUUAAAUACUGAAAUGGGCCGGGCAAAAUUGAGUGUCUACACGCAUUAUAAAUAUGUGCACUUUUUUUCCUUUAUUAGGAAUUUUUUUAUACAGUGAUAAGACCUAUUAUUUACCAAUAAACAUUCAAAGAGAAAUGUUAUGGAAUAUUUUAUUAUUUACCGGAUGCCCAUCAAUAUCAAGAUAAGCUCGAUGUACUUCAAGACUCUAAUAUUCGUUAGAAGUAAAAUUUUAUUUGAUAAAUCAGAUUGGGUUAAAACCUAUUAGAUUCAUAUUGUUUUAUCAAUUUUAUUUGCGAAACUAAAGAAAUUCGUCGUGAAUAUAUUAAAUAAUAAUUUAAUUUUUAAAAAUUAAAAAAAAAAGUUUUAAUUAAGAUUGAAGGAAAAAAGGACAGGAUGAUUGAAUUUGAGACAUUUAAAUAGUUGAAAAAUACAAGCUACCAAUAUAUGAAAACAAGCAAUCAUCAAACUCUCUUGCUUUUGGAAGGCAAAUUGAGUCCUGCUUUGGUUAUACCAUUUUAUCAUGCCAACUACCUUUUAGCUUUUCUUUUUUAAUAAUUUAUUUAUAUUUUUUAUAUAAUGUCUAGAAUUAUCUAUAAUUGCUCCUUAACUCAUGAAUAGGAGGACAAUGCGCUCCAGCACAUUUGAACCCACGUCCUCUUAUAUUGACAACAAUACCCAUCCUAAUUAAGUUAAAACUCGAUCGAUAACUUUCAACUCUUUUUUUUUUACUUUUACCCAACAAUUUAAUUAGAUUUAUUUAUAAAUUAAAUCUGAUUAGAACGGAUUAUAAUUUUUUUAUUAAUCAAAUUAUAAUUAAGAUUUUAUUUAUUUAAUACUUAUAUAUUAUUAAAUUUAUUUAUUAUUAUUAUUUUAUAUUUUGAAAAAACUUAAAUUUAUAAUACAAAAUAAAAUUAAUAUAAAUUAAUGAAAAUGCACAAUCAAUUAACAAUAAUGGCUAAUAUAAUUAACUGUUUUUUUUUAUAAAAAAUAUAAUUAAAAUAUUGCUAUGUAAAUAACACAUAUAUAAAAUUAGGUAUUCAUAAUUUUAUUAUAUAUACUUAUUCAAAUUAUUUUUUAUUAUCGAGAUUAUAUUAAUCAGCUUGUUUUAUUAUUAAAAUUAUUAAUUUAAUUAUUAAAUAGCAUUAAAUCUUUAAAUUUCUUAUUUUAAAUUAUGUUAUAUAAGAUUCAUAGUUUUAGUAAUGGAAGGAUUUAAUUGAUAUAGUCUUGACAAUUUAAUGAUGUAAUUGAUAAAAUUAAAAGGUAUAUAGAGAUAAAAAAAUUAAAGCACCUCUGUUAUAAUAUUUACUAUUACUGACCCGUAACCCGAAUGGGUCUAAGUCGGAUUCUACACGGUUUGCAUGUUAAACUUGCAUACCAUUUGCAGAUCGAGUUUGCGUAUUGAAUUCGCAUGAUGUUAAGUAUUCGCAGGAAGAGUGUUUUAUUCUCCCCUGCAAAAUUACAUGUAAGAUCAUACAUGAAAUCGUAUAAAUACGUGUUAAAUCUAAAAUAUAACAUGUGUUAACAUUCAUGAAAUCUAUUUUGGAAUAUCACACCAAUAAAGAGUAAUGAUGUUAUAUAAAUAUAUGAUUCUAAAGAGGAAACAACAAAACACUCAACAACCUCAAAAUUCAAUAAUCAUAACAAUUAACUCUUGUGACAGUACUAUUUAUAUGAUAAAAAUAUGGUAAAAAACAGAAAUUUAAAGGAUAAUAAUAUUUUUUUAAAAAACACAAAAUAUAAAAAAAAAAACAAAAACAAAAAAACAUGCACUCAAUCUCACCAUAUUUUUCCCCUCAAAAUCCGAUAUUUAAAAUUUUUAUUUUACUAUAAUCACAAAGAAAUUAAUGCAAUAAGUACUAUGGCAGUAACCCCAAAUAAACCAACAUUGUUUCCCAUAGUGAACCUCACAGCUUUAGAAUUAUCAGUAGAAUCAUCAGCAGGACUAUCAGCCACAUCAUCAUCUUUCUUCUUCUUCGAUUUCGCCGGAGCAGGCGCUGGUGCCGGAGGUCUAGGAUCGAAUAUCUGUAAAGGCUGAAGAACUCUAUCUAUUUGAUAAACAGCAAGUUGACCGUCGGUAUAAACUGUACCGGAAACACUAGUAUUAGUCAACCCCGACGUAAUGUUCACGGUGUCUCCCGUCGAGGUAACGUUGAGAGGGAACUUCCCAUCGCCGCUAUCACCGGCUUGGGUUCUUAAAGGGUUACUAAUGGUUUGAAACUGAGCUGAAGAGAGAUAAGUUGGGAUUAUAUGGAAUUGGAUUAACUCUACUUUUUGUUCGUCGGAAAGUGAGUUCAACGUGCCGGAUUUUAAGCUCGAAAAAGCACUGUCGGUCGGUGCGAAAAUAGUGAUCCCAUUGUUGGUGUUGUUGAGUUGGCCGAGUAACUGGUUCGCGACUUGCGUGGCUUUCAUUAACCGGAUAAAAGUCGAGAAUUGGCCGGCUUUUUCGAGGAUUUUUGUGACGUUGGUUGGACCGGGUGGUGCUGGGGAUGAUGCCGGUGCUAGUACUGGUGCUGCCUUUGGAGCUACCACCGGAGCUGCUGCCGGAGCUUGGGCUAAGGUUAAUAAUGUUGAACAACAAGUAUGGAGGAGAAAGAAAAGCAUAAGGUGAUCAAAUUGCUUCAUUAUCAUAUAUAUAAUUAUAUAUAUCACUCUAUAUAUUGAAUAUAUGCCUUAAAAACACUAUGUUUGGAUGUGUUUAUUUUAUAGGAAGAGAAAUGGGGGAAAUUAGGGUUUUUAUUAUGGGAGAUUGAGGGAUCAAAAUUAGGUAAAAUGUUCAAUUUUAGUUAGCUAAUUUUAUUUUUUUAAUGGAAAUAUGAUUUGAUAACAUUGUUUCAGCAAACUCUAUUGCUUGGAAAAGCAGGAAAAACAACAUAAAUAGAUUUUAUUUUUUGGUUUCGAAAAUGUUUCUAUUAAAACGUGCUCAAUAAUUAAUUAUUCGUGUUCUGUAAGUUUAUUAAAGAAGUAAACGAUAAUCACAAUUUUUAAAUACAUAUAUAAAAUAUGAUGAUAUAUAAAAAUUUGUGUAUGAACAUAUCAGUUUUUAUAUAAUGAAUGUGUCAAAAUUUUUAUAUAAAUAUGAUAUAUUAAAUACGAUUAUGACCUAAAAAAAUAUUAUUAAAUCGGAGAAUUAUUAGAAUUAUUAAAAUAAAAAAGUGGUGAAUGAUUGCUUUAAUUUUACUUUGUAUUUGAUAUUUUGGACAAAAAAAAAUUAUACUUUUGAUUGUUACUUUCUACCUUAAGAAAGGAAAAGAAUGUUUCCACAGAAAAAAAUUGAUGGAAAAUGGCUGCUGGUUUGUAUGUUAAUGGGAUAUUCAACUGGCCCUCUCUUCUAAUUUAAAGGGGUAAAACUACGGGCUGACAAGGUCCGGUUCCCUAAAAUAGAAUUUUUUUAUUCAAAUAUUUUAAAAUUUUAAAUUAAUAAAUAUAAAAUUAUACUUUAAUUUUUUAAAAAUAUAAUAAUUUAAUUUAAUCUUUUAAAAUUUAUAAAGAUAUAAACUAUUCGUAAAAAUUAGUAAUUUAAUUUGACCAUUUACAAAAAAAGUUUGAUUUCGCUCCAGCUUAUAUUAAACUUUAAUGAAAAUAAUAAUGAAGUUGAGAUGUUUUUUUUUUAAAUUAAUUAAUUUGUAUAUUAAAUAAAUAUGUAUGAACCUUAGUGUUUUUUUUUAAAUAUUAAUCUCAUCAUAAUUUUUUAUCAUAUAUGCUAUUUUUUUAUACAAUGCUUAAAACUAUCCAUAGCCCUUCUCAGACCCUUAAAUAGGAGGAUAAUGCACUUUAGCGCACUUGAAUCCACAACCUCUUGCAUAGAUAACAAUAUCGAUGCCAAUCAAGACAAGACUUAAUCGACUGAACCUCAGGAUUUUUAAGACCUCGUUUUUGUUAUUAAAGUUAGGCUUUGUGGGUAAAACACUUAUUUUUCUAUUAAUAUGAAAAUACUUUAUGGCAUUUCAUUAGAUCAAUACAAGGGCAGGAGGGCCGGCGAUGGCCCUGAUCUUCCUAAAAUAGAAAAUUCUCUUUUAGUCUAUGUAUAAUUUAUAAAAUUUUAAAUUAGUAAUGAUAAAAUUAUACUUUAACCCCUCAAAUGAUAAAAAAUUUGAUUUAAUCUUUUAAAAACUAUAAAAAUAUAGACAAUUAAAAUUAUGAAAUUAUAUUUUUAUUAUUAUAAAAAUAUACAACUUAAUUUCGCUCGACCAAUUUUUUUUUUUGACUUCGCCCUUGAAACAAUAUGUAAUAGAAUACGAUAAGGAUGUUGUUAAUAGGUUGAAGACAAUUCAGAGGUUCACAGAAGUAUUUAAGGAGAACACUUGUAAGUCAUGUAUUUCUCUUUUAUUAAUGUGUUUGUCAUUUUUGUUAGGUUGGCUAUACAACCUAAUGUAACAGAGUGAUUGGGCUCGUUAAUGACGAAUAAAUACGGUCUUAUCAAGAUGGUUGAUCUUGAUGCGGCCGUGACCAUAACGAGCUUUAGUGCUCGUGCCCAUCUUUUGGCGAUGAACUCAAUUGAACCGAAUAUAUGUACUAAAGAUAAUCAAACCCAAACAUAAAACAAGCCAUAAUAUAACUCAAUAAACCUGCCCAACAUUGGAUUGGCCUCAUUCAGCAAUUGACCCAAGAUAGGGAAAUUCCAAACAUACAUUUUUUAAGCUUAGAAAUAAUAAGGUAAGAAUCACAUUAAAAAAUACUUGAAUGAUAGUCAAUUGAGUCUUAACUCGAUUGAUAUAAGUAUUGUUGUCAAUGCAAGAUGAUGGUGAGUUCGAGUGCGUUGAAGUGCAUUAUCUUCUUAUUUAUGUAUUGAGGAGAGGCUAUAGGUAAUUCUAGAUAUAACAUUAUAAAUUCAUUAUUAUGCUUUACUAUCAAAAUUUGUAGCACACAAAUAAUUUAAUUUUUAUAUGUAUUUAAACAAUAAUUUUUUAUAUUUUUAUUGAACAUAAUUUGGUUCUCUACUUUUACAAUGAUAUUAGGUAGUCAAAAUAAUUAACAUAUUUAGCUAUUUUGGUUGAAAUUUUAAAUCUAUUUUUUUAAAAAUAAUAUUGUUCAAUCAAAAAAAUUAUUUUGGUCUAAUGAACAUGAGAGUGUUAAUAAAAAAACACAUCAACCACAAGAGUUAAGUGAGAUAAUAAGAGUUUCUUCAACCUUAACUAGUUGUCAAGGGUUCUAUCAUUGCAUUGGGUAUGGAGUAAUUUUAAAUUUUUGGUCAGUGUCUACCCUAUUGAUGGGCUUACAGAACGCUCUAGUGGAUAUCUUGGGAAAUUAAAAAGAAAAAUUCACAUCAACUACUAAAAAUAUUAACGGUCCUAAUUAUUUAGACUAACUGAAAACACGACUCUUUUUUUAAUCAUUAUAAGAUAAUGAUAAAUUUGUAAUUUCGAUCUCUCUGUUAUGCUCACAUUUGAGAUUCAAUAUUCAUUAAUUUGAAGUAAUUUGAUCAUCUGAUUUUAUAAUGACAUUAAUUAGUUCAAAUAAUUAACAUCCUUAGCUAUAGCGAUUAAAAUGAUUACAUUAAUUUCUCUCAAAAACACCUCUAUAACACUAUAUUUAUUUCUACUUGAAGUUGGAACAGAUAUUUUUAAAAAAAAUUAACUUCAAUAUUUUGACAAAAAUAAUUAAGAUUAUCAACUAUUUCAACUGUAAAUGAAUCAAAUUAUAUAAAAUUAAAGAACAUAUACUAAAUUUUAAAUUUAAACAUAGCAUAGAGAUAUAACCAUAAGUUGAUGUAAACAACCUAUGCCUAAUAUAAAUUCUAUGUUUAAUUUUUUAAAUUAAAUUAUAAAAAAAUAUCAUGAAUAUCAAUACAUCAUAUCUUAUAUGAAAAUCUUUCAGCACUGAUAAUAAAAUAUUAUUAAUUCAAAUAUGAUAAAAAUAUAAAUAUAGUACUAAAACAAAAGAAAAACUAAAAACCAUAGGAUUGUUAAGAAUAAAAAAAUAAGAAAACCUUAUCCACUCAAUUUUCUGAAAUUAAAAUUUGACUUUGUUGAUGGUGGAUUAGCCUCUAAGUUAGUUACUAGUCACAGCAUCUUUAAUAAUAUUUUUUCUUCAAAUUUUAGUUUUAGUCUACUUUAUUUUUAAAAAAUUUUGGUGGUUUUUAACUCGUAUGUUGGCUUGGUAAUUAGGAUGUUUAUCACCCUAGAUGUAGGAGCGAAGUCAGAAUUUUUUUUUAAGGGGCUAAAAUUAAAUUGAAAUUUUUAAUAGUCUAUAUCUUUAUGAUUUUUAAAAGAUUAUAUUAAAUUUUAUCAUUUUUAAGAGUGACUAAAGUGUAAUUUAACAUUUAUUAAUUUAAAAGUUUAAAAUUUCUAAAAGGUCUAAAUUGUCAAAUUUUCAUUGUAAGGGGGACUGGGGCCUUGUCAGCCUCCCCUAGAUCCGCCUCUGCCCAAAUGUAACUUGGGUUCAAAUCACGCUAGUUACGUUACUGUUAGGAUUUUUAUUUUAAUUCAUUUUAUUUUCUUCAAAUUUUGUUCGUUAUGUUUUCUUUGAAUAUUUAUGUGUAAUGGAUGAUGGUUUGUGGACUAACCAGUUAAAUAUUUAUGGGGUUGUGAUUUAUAGGGGUUUUGGAAAAAUGGUGGAUUGUUUUUUUAGUGCUCAAAUUAGGGAUUAUUGUUGUUUGAUCCUACUCUAUAUGAGCACAUAAUACAAAUCUCUACUUUAUUCAAAUUAUGUUUGGGUUAUUUUCAUAUUUAUUUAUACUUAAAUCUCUCGUUAUGUAUACAUGGGUCUUUUUAGAAUUAUCCAUUUUGAGAAUUGCGCUAAAAGUAAUCAUGAGCCGAAUUGAAGCUUGGAAAUAUUUUUUUCUUAUCUAGAUCCAAUGUUGCCAGCCACGAGUGAAGUUAAAAAAUUAUGCUGGGGGCUGAUUGAGUCUUAACUCGAUUAGAAUUGAAAUUAUUGCCAGUGCAGGAGGAUGAGGAUUUGAGUGCGUUGAAGCGCGUUAUCCUUCUAUUUAGGAGUUGGAGAGGGACUAUGGAUAGUUCUAGUUAUUGUAUAAAACAUAACAGAUAUGACAAUAUUAAUGUUAAAAAAAUUAUAUUGGGGGACUAGAAAUAAAUUAUAAAUUUUGAGAGCCAAAAUGUAGUUUUAUUUUUAUGUUAUCACGUGUUUUUAUAAAAUCUUAACAGUAACAAAAAAUUUUCUCUAGAAAAUUAUUAAUAUUGAUUGAGCCUAAAUUUAGUUAAUAUUAUUACAAUUAUACCAAGUAAAAAGACAUAAAUUUAAAUACGAUUAAACACGAAUUAAGUGAAGCAAGCUGUUAGGCCAUUGAGUAAGACGUUAUGUUUAUAAGCCUUUUGGAAAUUUGCAACCCCCGAAUACCUAAGUUUGGUUAGGUUUAGCAAUUAGGGUUUAAUUAAAAGGAAAGCACAUUAAUACCAUGCAACAUAAGCAAUGGAGAAAAGAUGGUUGAGGACCAGUACUUGUCUCUAGUGCCACCACCCUUAAUUCAAAUCCAAGCAAUUUGUUUACUUUGACUAUCCAUCAUGGUUCGCAUUGGAACAAAAUCGAGUAUGUUUUAUUUGUAUGUUUGUUUUACAGUUUUUGUUCAGGGUUCGUAGUUGUUCCUCUUAACAAUGUCAUCUUCAAGUUUCAAAUUCGAGUCAUCUUCUUAGGAGUGCAACGUAUCUUACUAUUACACUCAAUCACUUGUUGGUCAAUCACGUUAAUUUUAACAAUACAAAUAAAUAAAAUUAUUAACAUAAACGAUUAAUUCGCUCUUUAAUUUAACGUACAAUUACUAAUUUAUCCCUUUUUUUAGAAUAAAAUAAAAUAUAAUCAUGCUCCUAACCUCUAUAAUACUUUUAUCCAAAUUGUAUAUUGAAAAAAAAAUAAUGUAUAGAUUUAAUAUUUAUUCCUUUAAAAAUAAUAUUGUGAGAAUUUUACCUUCGAUUUUGAGAUUAAUAUAAUUAAAUUUUAAAUUUAAUCAAAUUUAAUAUAACUACCAAAUAGCGGUAACAUUUCAAACAAACAAAAUUUAAAAAAUUAGUUGGUGGUUACAAUAAAUUGGAAUUUAAUUUCGGCUUGACAUUAAUUCGAGCUUUCAAAUUUGCAACUAUCUUCAAUAUAACUACCAACAUCUUCACCUCUCAGUUUUCAAAAAUCUUUUACUAUUCUCUUAGCUUUCACCGACAAAAAAAUGGCAGCGAAGCAAACGACGAUCCUCGUUGCCGCCAUCCUCGUAACUGCUUUUUACGGCGGCGCGGUGACAUCGGCGCAGGCACCGUCAGCUGGUCCAGCGAUGGCCAUGUCGCCGUCCGCCAUGGCACCGACGCCGGACUGUAUGACGAACUUGUUCAACUUAUCGGAUUGUUUGACGUACGUGGAGGCCGGAAGCAACUUGACGAAGCCGGACAAGCCUUGCUGUCCGGAAUUGGCUGGGCUAGUGGAAAGUAGCCCUCAAUGCUUGUGUUAUUUGCUGGAUAAGAACGCGACGGCGAACUAUGGGUUCAACAUUGACAUGGAUAGAGCUCUUAAGCUUCCUGAUGUUUGCCAUGUUAAAACUCCUCCUGUUAGUCUUUGUUCAGGUAAUUCUACCUUUCCCUCUUCUUUUUUUACUAUCUUUCAUGAAUUUUUGAUGGAGUAUAACUGAUCUUGUUGUUUGGAUUGAGAAUUGGCGGGUAAAAAAUUGAAUAAUUUUGAGUAAGAAGACUUAUAACAACCGAAAAUUAAAACAGGAAAACUGAUUGAAUUGAUUUAUAGAUUUUUUUAAUUGUUUAUUUAGUUAUUGGAUGAUUGAAUUGCUUGAACUAGAAGAGGUGCGUGGAAUUUUUGAAACAUUGAAUAUAACGAGGAGAAUUAAAUAUUGAACUCAAAUUUGUUAUAAUUGUUAGCGUUAAUUGUAAGAUAUUUUCAAACUAUACUUUCGAUUUUAAAUUUGGUUCGAAAGUUUAAAAAUAUUGUAAUUAAAUUUUAAAAUUUUUUUAAAGAAUAUUAUUUAUAUUAAGAUGGUCUUUUGUCGAUUCAAAUUUAAUAUGAAUAACUUUAGAUAUUAUGUUUUCGAAAAACAUAGAUAUUGACAAUUUAAGAGGAUUAUAUUUUAUUUUAAUACAUUAAAUCUAAACUAUUAUACAUUAAGUAUACACAUGUUUAUAGUUUAAUUUAGGUGCUUUAAAUUUGCUCAACAUUUUAUCCAACCUAAUAUAUAACUUUUAAAUUGACGACUAGGUUAAUAGAAUGGCUUGAUUGAUAUAAUAUUAAAACAUUGAAAACUUAAUUAAAACAUCUUGAAGUUUUUGGACCAAUUUAACAUUUGGACCAUAGUUUGAAAACAUUUGUUAGAAUUAACCCAACAUUUUCAAAGAUAAUUACAAUAUGAAUCAUAUUUGUUAUUUUUAAUACAAUGUCUAGAAUUACCUAUAGUCGUACCAAACUUAUAAAUAGAAGGAUAAUGUGUUUUAGCGCAUUUGAACCCACGUCUUCCUGUAUUGAUAAAAAUAUCCAUUUCAAUUGAGCUAAAAUUACAUCGACGAGUAGAAUUUUUUUUUUGGUAACACAAGUGAUUUUAUAGUAUUUUUAAAAAAAUAUAUUUUUAGUGGUGAAUAUAGUAAUAUAUAAUCAAUUUAAAAAUAUACAUUGAAAUAAAGUUUUGACUGUUGAAUUUAUUAUUUCCCGAGUCUGUUUUAUAUAGUAUAAAUAUAAUUUUUAUAAAUCAUAUAAAUUUUGGUUAAUAAAUAUAUUCAUGAUAUUUUUUAUUUUAUUUUUUAAUGUUAAUUUUUUUGGGGUGAUAUUUUUAAUGUUAAUUUUUAUACAUUAUAUUUAAAGAAUAGUUUGGGUUGGGGGGAUAUGGUUGGGUUUCAUUUAAUAUGUUUGAUGAAGGCAUUUAAGGUCUCUCGGUUAGCUCUCAACCAACUUUACCGCUCUGUCAUUUUUCCAAUAAAUGAAUCACGUGCACACUGCCUAUUUCAUUUAAAUAAGAUUUUAUUACCAAAACAUUAAUGUUAUUUUUUUUAAAAAUCUUAUAAAUUGUUAAUUUUUACUAGAGAAAUUAUUUUAUGUAAUUUUCUCAUCAUAUUAUUCAUGAUUUUUUUAAUUAUUUAAUUAUAUUUUAGUAAAAAAAAUUUAUGUUAUUAACACAUAAUUUUGAUAAUUUUUUUUUAUCUUGAACCAUGAAUUUUAAAUCUCAAAUUCUAAAUCUUAAAUCUUGAACUCUAAACUUUGAAUCCCAGGUUAUUUGAAAUUCAAAGUUCGGGAUUCGAAUCUAUGGUUCAAAAUUCAGGAUUAAGGUUCAAAAUUUUGGAUUCUGAAUAAAAAAAAUUAUUAUCACGUAUUAUAUUUAGUGUAAAUAUUAUUAUCAUUAAAAUUUUAAUUAAUAUUAACAAUUUGUAGUCCAAUUCUCGUCUCAAAAUUUUAAAAAUAGAACUUAAUCAAACUUUAAAACCAAGUUUUAUUCAUUUACAUAAAACUUGAACUUUAAAUUUAAAGUAUUUAGUUGCACAUGUAUGCUUAAGUUGAACUACUAACAUUUAUUUCCAUGAACUCAUAAACAGCUAUUGUCGGGGCUCCAAUCGGAGUUCCAACUCAAAGCACUGAAGGAUCUAUGUCACCAGCAUCCGAGCCAACAGGUUCCGUAGCAUACGGACCGUCUCCAUCCGCCAUGGCACCAACACCGGACUGCAUGACAAACUUGUUUAACUUGUCGGAUUGUUUGCCGUACGUGACGGCCGGAAGCAACCAAACGAAGCCGGACAAACCUUGUUGCCCGGAGUUGGCCGGGCUCGUGGAAAGCAGCCCUCAGUGUUUAUGUUUAUUGUUUGAUAAGAACGCGACCUCGAGUUAUGGGGUCGACAUUGACAUGGAUAGAGCUCUUAAGCUACCUAAUGUUUGCCAUGUUAAAACCCCCCCCGUUAGUCUCUGCUCCAGUAAGUAUAUUACUUUCUUUUAAGAAUUUAAUUACGUCUUAAAAGUAUCGAUAAAAUAUCAAUCGAGACAUUUAUUUAACUUAAUCAUUAUCUCCAACAUUAAAUGUAAGUUAAAUAUAUUGAAAAUACGUAAUCACAAAAUUGAUUUUUUAUCUGGAAUUGAAUUCCUACAG
rnacentral:lncRNA from 1 species